AUAUUUCUUAGCCACACUACACAUCUCAAGUACUUAGCUCUAAGUUGGUGUAAUCUUGGGGAAGAUCCACUGGGGAUGCUCGCAUCACACUUGUCAAACCUCACUUAUCUAAGACUGAACAACAUGCACAGUUCGAAAACUUUGGUUCUUGAUGCAGAGGCGUUCCCCCACCUGAAGACUCUUGUGUUAAUGCACAUGCCUGAUGUCAACCAGAUAAACAUCACGGAUGGCGCCCUUCCAUGCAUUGAAGGUUUAUACAUUGUAUCAUUGUGGAAGCUGGAUAAAGUCCCUCAAGGCAUUGAAUCCCUUGCCUCCCUGAAGAAGCUCUGGUUGAAGGACCUGCACAAAGACUUCAAGACUCAAUGGAAAGGUGACGGGAUGCACCAGAAGAUGCUGCAUGUUGCAGAGGUCCGUAUAUAGAUGUUGCAGAUUGGCUCUUUCUACAUUAGUAUUCUUUCUUAAAGUCUGUCUGCGUGCAAGUACAUCACACAUUUAGUUCUUUCCAGUAAUUUGUCAGAUUUGCAUAUGUAUGGUCGGUAUUGUUUUCUUUGGUAACAUGUCAUGCUUGAUUUUUUUUCCUAAAGGAGGCCCCCAUAAUUUAUGUGUUGUUUCAAUUGCCUUCAGAUUUAUUUCAUGUAAGAAUCAUGUCCCAUUUUUAUCAACGGCAUCUUCCUGUGGUGUUAUCAACGUUGGAACCUCCUUGUUCUCGUCUGAUAACAGGGCUUCGCGGCUGUUUUAAUCGAGCUCCAUGCCUAGUUUGGUCUGUACUGUGGUUGGCUUUGGUGCAGACAUGCAGUGCGCCAACAUUAUACCAUAUCGCAUUCUCAAUUGUAGUGUACUAAUUAAUAAUGCUGCAUGUUGUCUCCAUUUUAUUUCUUGGAAAAAUACAGGUUCCAAUGUAUUGAUUUUGCUAAAGAUCUCUAGAUGUGUAACAAACUAGAGUCAUUCAAAUUCAGGAUUUUGAUUAGAGUAAAAUACACCAGCGGUCCUUAAACUUGUCAGGAGGUCUUACUUAGAUCCACGAACUUGCAAAUGUGAUGGCCAUCCACUUUCUCUUGUUAGUGUGGCCAAUUUUUUGAGAAGGGUUAACAGUCUGACGGAAAGCAGCGACGACAUUUGCCACCGAUUAGGUUCUCAGGUUGAGAAGGCACCUGCAUUCCAAGAAUUGCGGGAAGUUCUUAUGAGUAACUAUGGCAAUCUGUCUGAUCAUCUUGUCAAGACAUGCCUGCUAUACAUGAGUGUAUUCCCAAAGGGUUUUGAGAUCAGGAGAAACAGUCUAGCCAGGAGAUGGGUAGCUGAAGGAUAUGCACAGUCUGUGGGUAAAUUCACAGACGAAACGGUGGCACAUCAAAACUUCAAGAAACUGCUUGACCAGAAUAUCAUCGAGCCGAUGGGUGCAUGCGACAAUGCAAGAGUGAAGACAUGCAGAACUAAUGCUGUCAUGCGCGAGUUCAUGCUGCACAGAUCCUUCUGUGAUCACUUCAUCGGGUCUCUUGAUACAAUGUCAGAGUCAGAUGACCCAAGUACCUUUCGUCAUCUCUUCAUCCAGAAUUGCACAAAUAUCAACAUCCUCAGGUUGGCCAAGAAGAAACUUCGUGCCCGUUCUCUGACAAUCUUUGGGAGUGGAGGAGGAGGAGCUGUUUCUUGUAUGAGAGAUGCUCCGGUGCUUUCUACUCGUAGUAUUAUACUACCAGUAGAACUAAUCUGAACCGUUUAUUUUUUUAGGGUAGAUUAGUAUAAGACAGAUUUGGGGUAGAUUUGACACUUAAUUUAUUUCUCCGUGUGGGUCUCGUGGUUAGCGUCGCUCGGAAUCCUCAUCUAUCUCAAUCGAGCGGAGGUGGAGAGCGUGACUCCUUCCGCCGGCGCCUCGACUCCUUCUGCCGGCGGCGCUUGUGCAUUCCGUUCCCUUCCGCCAACGGCGGAACUCUCCGGCGCCCCUCUCCUUCCGUUCCCCUUCUCUGCUGGCGUCUAGCCGCUUCCCCACCGGCCUGCGCGCAGGAGCUUCUGCUGUGGGAUGUUUUUCUGUUCAUGAUUUUGUAUGGGUUGCGUUUUGCCUGAAUUCUGGUGUGAACUGAACAGAGAAGGGAAAACGUUAGUUGGAAAUUUAUCUGAAAUGCUGUAGUUCGUUUCAUAGAUAUAUGGACUAAUCCAUGUUAGUACUGAAGACCAACUGAUCAUCAAUUGUUUGGUUUAGUUUUCAACAGUAACUGAUCCUUCUGUUUGUCUCUGUCUGUUUGGUUAAUUGACCCUACUCCCUGCAUCCCUGCAUGUAUCUGAAUUCUUCUGGAUAUGAAGCAACUCGUUUCAAAUAUGGAUGUGGAUUUAAUACCCUAGUAUGUCACAAUGUGUUGAAUUCUUCUGCAUCUGUGGCAUUCCGUUUCAGAGAUGAAUGGGCUUAUCUGAAGAAUCAUGCUUUUAACUUGCAGGGCUAGUUGAACUGUUGGAUCGCUUGCAUAAAGUAAAUAUUUUGCCCCCAAGCUGCCACUCUUAUACUUCCUCCGUUUCUAAAUAUUUGACAUCGUUGACUUUUUAAUACAUGUUUGACCGUUCGUCUUAUUGAAAAACUUUUGUGAAAUAUGUAAAACUAUAUGUAUACAUAUAAGUAUAUUUAACAAUGAAUCAAAUGAUAGGAAAAGAAUUAAUCAUUACUUAAAUUUUUUGAAUAAGACAAACGGUCAAACAUAUUAAAAAAGUCAACGGCGUUAAAUAUUUAGAAAUUGAGGGAGUAUAUUUAAGUGAAAUCCCAAGCUGCUAAGUUGCCAUUCUUAUAUAUUUAAUUGAAAUCCCACUCCUAUGUACUCUUAUGUAGCAAAACCGUUUUACUGUAGACUUGUUCGAUGGUCGCAAAAUGCAUUGACAGUGAUAUGCUAUCAACCAUAAACUCUGGACAGAAAGUUAAUUAGGGUUGAUCAAAGAAUAGUUUGUCAGGUUUUGCUGCUAUCAUGCUUCUUCAGCAAGCUCUCCCUUGGUCUGUUCAAUGGUAUAUGCAACCAACUUCGUAUGUGUCAGAAAAGAUGCAAAGCAAAAUGCUCAAUUCAGUAGAUUGUCGACAAGAUUUUUGACGACAUCGAGCAAUGGAGCAGCUGCGGGCAAAUGUGCUGGUGCAUUUCUCUCAGAGAGCUAGAUAAACGUUGGAGGCGGCGGAGGCGAGUGCGUCGGGAGGCGGCAGACGAGGGCGAGGGUGGCGGAGCAGGCGAGGUCGGCUGAGGCGGCGGAAGGGAGGAGUCGCGAGGGAGGUUCUCUCGGCAUGGGCUCCAGAUGCAGGCGUCAGUUCCAGAACGAAAGAAGAUAGGGUAGCUAUUGUUAUAAAGUGAAAGUGACGAUUAUACCCCUCCGUAAAUAAUUUUAUGUAGACAAAAGUACCCCUCCAUAAUUCUACUACCAUUAAGUGAGGUGGUAGUAGAGAUAGAUCUGAACCCUUCGAUCAAAUAAGAUCAACGGUUCAGAUUUUUUUCUACUAUAAGUAGAAAGCACCGGAGUGAGACUUUUCUUGUAUUGCCGAGUGUGAACUGUUGCAGGCCUUAGAUCUAAAAGAAUGCAAUGAUUUUGAUGAUAAUCGUGUCAAGGGCAUCAUGAAGGACAAUCUCAGUCGUCUAAAAUAUCUGAGCCUCGGAAGCGCUACUACGAAACUUCCAAAGGCGAUUGAGAACCUACAGUGUUUACAUACACUCGAAUUAAGAAAGACAAAUGUAGUGGCACUGCCUAUAGAAGUCAUAAAGCUGCCCCAUCUAGUUCACCUGUUUGGGAAGGUCAAGCUCAGGAAAAAGAGGAGUAUUCAUGCGGUGCAGGUAAUAGAUGAUAUCAUCUCAAACAAAAAAAGUAUCGGACAAAAGAGUAAGCUGCAGACUCUAUCAGGAUUUAUCAUAGACAAAGACUCUAUAAUUCCGCAACUGAUGGUUCAUAUGAGGGGACUGAGAAAGGUCAAGAUAUGGUGUGAUUAUUCCACUGGUGAAGGUAACACUAUCCACCUCAAGGAGGCUAUUGAAAAUAUGGUUAUGUACGAAAUGGACACAGGUGUUGGCGUUCGUUCUCUGUCACUGUACCUCGGAAAUGCCUUGGAGAAUCUUCUUGGUCUUCUAGGUGAAACAAAUGGUUUUCUUACCACUCUGAAACUGCACGGCAGACUGAGCCAAUUUCCCAAGUUUGUUACGUCGCUUACAGGCAUCAAAGAGUUGUGCCUUUCAUCAACUAAUCUAACUGGGAGUGAUUUAUCAGGAUCAGGCCUGGGUGAUCUACCCUGCUUGCUUUAUCUCAAACUGGUAGAAUACAACCUUGUGGGCUUCGUCAUUAAAAAAGGGGAUUACCCAGUCCUGCAGCGCCUAUGUCUAGUGGUGGAGAGUCCUAAUCCUAUCCUACCUAAAAUCGAAGAGGAAGCUUUGCCAGAACUUGUUUCACUUCACCUGCUUUGUGUGCGCCUUGGUGAUCUUGCUGGCAUUAAUAUUAGAAACCACACAAAUCUCCAGGAAGUUGCUCUUGAUUCAGCUAUCAGUAUGGAAACCAUAAUUACUUGGGAAAAUGAAGCUCGGAAGCACCCAAAAAGACCCAAGGUUUUGUUCUUCAAAAGGGUUGGCACACCCAACACUGGGUGUACGGUAAAGUAUACUGCGACCGAGAGGCCUAAAACACCUGAGAGCACGGGGCCCGGUGAAUCGAUGGAAAUAGAUAAUUAAGGUCCUCUCCGUCUCUGACUGAUCGAGCUGCUAAAUGCUCGCCAUGUUCUUCAAGGUCAGUAUUAUUACUCUUAUCAUCGAGUAUUAUUAUCCUGAUUAUUAGUGCGCUCUACAUACAUCGAGUAAAUUGUUAUCUACAUGCUAGGAACAUGUAGAGCGCAAUUUACUUUGCAAAUGAAAAAUGUCAGGGUUUUUUUAUCCUGCACCUUUUGUAUUGUACCUUUAUUUUAUAUUACAAGUCUCUUUGACUUUUUCUUUAGUUAAACUUUUUAAAUCUGACCAAAUUAUAGAGAAAUAUAACAAUAUUUUCAACACUAAACAAAUAUGUUAUCAAAAUAUACUCAAUAUUAAAUUUAAUGAAAUUUAUUUGGUGUUGUAAAUGUUGCUAAAUUUUCCUAUAUUUCUAGUUAAACCUAAAAAGGUUUUACUAAGAAAAAAAUCAAAACGAUAUAUAAUAUAAAACGGAUAGAGUAUUUGGGCCUGUUUGGGGGAGCUUUAGAUUCUGAGAAGCAGCUGAUUGAUAGCCAGCUUCUGAGAAUCUGGAAAAGCUCUGAAACCCAGCUUCUCCAGCUUCUAGCUUCUUAGUUCAUAUUUCAGAAUCUGUAACUACAGAUUCUCAGAAGCUGUGGCCUGUUUGGAACAGCUUCUAGUAGAAACAGCUUUUGGGAAAAGCUGCAGCUGGGACAAACUCCCCCAAACAGGGCCUUUGUCUUGGCACCGUCGCUGGUUGCAACUUGCAAGGUUGUAUUCUUCUCGUAGAAUUUUAACAUGACGUUCAUUUCCAUUUUACAGCAUGUCGAUCGUAAAGCUGUUGUUCCGCAGGAGCUGUAAGAUCGGCGCCCGACCACCGUCUGUUGAAUUUCCAUAUUUACUACAGUGAACCAUGUCGUGUGUGAUGUGUCAAGUUUCCUUACAGAAUGAGUAACUUUCGUAUUCAUAUUAUCAUGUCGGCCUGCUACAAAAAUAAAAUCAGAACAAAUGAUGAUUUGUGGUGUGUCUAUCAACUAUAGCCGAGUAGAAAACGCUGGUUUGUAAUUUACGCACAUUUCCUUUCUGCGAUGUACUAAUUCGUGUUAACUUAGUUGCUUGAUUGCUUACUGCUUCAGUGCUUUGCUUUGUUGGCACUUGUAUCAUAGCAAGGGUAAAUGGGAAACAUAGUUUCAUGUUACUACUGGAGAAACCAUAUUUGGUCGGUUGCCCAAAAUCCACAAUAAUCCCGGUUUAAAUAGGGAUCUUUAGUCCCGGUUGAAAGAUCUGACGUCACUUUUUGAUCUUUAGUCUGGUUGGUGCGUCACUUUUUGAUCUUUAGUCCCGGUUGGUAACACCAACCGGGACUAAAGAUCAUUUUUAGUCCCGGUUAUUAAACAACCGGGAAAAAAACAGCGAACUGCCCCGCCUCGUCCUCCCCGCCCCUUAACUCUUCUCUCUUCUCCUCCUCACCCCUCAUUCUUAUCACACUUCUUCCCCAUCUCCAUCUCCUCCUCCUCAUCCUCCUCCUCUCAUCCCCCUUCUCUCCCCCUCUCUCCCUCCUCCCCUCCCCCUCCUCCCCUCCCCUCCGGCGGCGGGAGGCAGCUAGGCAGUGGCGGCAGCCGUCGCGCACGGAGGGCCGCCCCUGGCGGCGGAGGCAAGUGCGGAGGACUGGGCGCAAGGCGCCCGGCGGCGGUGGCCCGCGCGGCGACCGGGCGCAAGGCGGCCGGCGGCGGUGGCCCGCGCAGCAGCGGGGCGCAAGGUGGCUAGACGCAAGGCGGCCGGUGGCAGUGGCCUGCGCGACGGCCAGGCUUCAGUGGCCUUCGCGACGGCUGGGCGCAAGGCGGCCGGCGGCCCACGGCCGGGCGACGGCAACUGCUACUUGAUUUUUUUUAUUUUGUGAAUUUUUGUAGUGAAUGAUGAAUGUUUUGUAUAUUUUGUCGAUUUGGGAAUGGUCUCACAAAAUUUGUGGAUUGUGGAUGUGUAUGUAUUAUUGAUGAUUUUGCUGUGUUGAUUUGUGGAUAAUUUUAUUGUGCAUGAUUGAUGAUUUGUGAAUAAAUUGAGUGGAUUUGGGGUGGAGGAAUAGAUAUAAGCAGAAAAAAACAGCCGUGACGUGACCCUAUCUAUCUUUAGUCCCGGUUGGUAUUACCAAUCAGGACUAAAGAUGGAUUUUUAAUCCCAGUUAUUUCACCCGGGACUAAAGAUGGGUAUCUUUAGUCCUGGAUUCGUCCUCCCGGUUGCAAAACCGGGAGUAUAGGGGGUUUCCGAACCGGGAGUAAAACCUUUUCUCUACUAGUAAUUCGGUAUAUAUUCCGUCUCUGACUCGUCGUUCAGAGCGCACUGACGAUCGAGCAGCGGCUGAUUAGGGAGGUCAGAGCUUGGUGCUGAUGGACUAGCAACAUUCUCCCCGGCUGAUUAGGGAGGGCACGUACGCCGUCUCAAGGCUCCAGCAGCGCUGAAGAGAUUGAGCUCGUGCCACCGCGCCAUUACCACUCCGAUGACUCAAAUUAGUCGUCUGCUCGUAAUGUGUUUGUCAGCUGUUCUUGUGUGUGAACUUUGCGCUUAGAAAGUCGGAUCGUAAACAUCUGUUAUCAAGGAGAAAAAAGGUACUGUGUAAAGAACAUUGGACAAAUUUCAGGGGCCCAAACACUUUCACCUGUAUCUUUUAUUCUCCGCGAUACUCUUGUGAAAUCAAAGUGUUUUUUAUUAUUAUAUAUUUUGUGAUGAACAAUUGAUAUGUGAGAUUACUGGUUUUUAUAUUUCACGGAUAUUCGACGAAGUGGUGCUAACUAUGUUGGACUAGUCAGACUAGGUGGUGUAGGUCAGUCAGACCAGCGUGUAGUGUGCGGUUAGACCGACCAGUCAAAUGGUCUGACUGGUAUGCUCAUGCUUGGAGUUGGUUUCGGGUUGUUUCUUUGGAUACUUGUGAUUAUCUCGUGUUUAUAACUUCUGGAUGAUUUCUAUGCUUGUGUAAUAGUGUGGUUUGCUAAUGUUGAGUCAAGGUAGUUGUGGAAGAACUAUGCUCAGAUAUGGUUUCUUGUUUACUAAUGUGUAGAUAUGUCUUGAUAUCUCAAGAGAGUAUUGCCGGUGAUGGAUUGGGAAUUAAGUUGGGAGAAGAUGACGUCCGAACAAUGAGGAUAUCAUGCCAUUGCUGCACAAGUGAUCUUUGCCGCCGGUUGGGAAGCUCUUAUUGUCCCGGUUAUGCAACCGGGAUGGCAAAUUCGGGAUUAAAGAUGGCUACCUUUAGUCCCGGUUGAAAUAACCAGGACAAAAGAUAGAUCUUUAUUCCCGGUUGGACAAAGAUUUUUUUUUUCUUUUUUCCAUAUCUCGCCCCCCGCCCCCCCCCCAUUAUAUUCAAAUCAUUACAAAAAUUCAUCCCAAAUCAUUUACAGCAUAGUUCAUCCUAAAUCUUCACAACAACAUAUAGUUUCAUUCUCAAAAUCAUUCACAACAACAUAAACAUAGUUCAUUCUCAACACAUAUUGAAUCACACAUUCAACACAGAAUCACAAAUCAUUCACAAAAUCACAAAAACAUCUACAAAAUUUACAACAAAAUUAUCCACUCCACACAUCGCACAGAUCGGAAAAUUAAUCAACACAUCUCAUCACAUAGAUCUGGAGAGGCAGAGAGGGAGGAGGGUGCCGGCCGAGCCGGGCUCGGGCAGAGAGGGAGGAGGGGAGGAGGGGGAGGAGAGGGCUGGAAGGGAGAGGAGAGGAGAGGAGAAGAAGAUAAGAAGAGGAGAGGAGAGGAGAGGAGAAGAAGAUAAGGAGGAGAUAGAUUUUUUUUCCCUCUAUAACCGUGCGAGUAUCCUCCCCCGCGCGCAUCCUCUCCUCAAUUUUUCUAGAUUGCUCUGGCGCGCGCGUUUUUUUGAUCUUUUCUCCCGGUUGAUAUAAACAACUGGGAUUAAAUAUAUGAUCUUUAGUCCCGGAACUAAAAAUCAUUGAAGUUCUAAACCGGGACAAAAAAUGAUUUUUAGUCCCGGUUCCUAUUCAAACCGGGACUAAUGUGGUUUUUGGCUAACCCGACAAAGAUCACUUCUCCAGUAGUGUGCGGGAUCCUUAGGUUAAAGAACAAUAUGCGUGAUUGGUGAAGAUUCCAUGCAACAUACCAGAGGAGAUUGUAUACGUCUGGUAUAAGGAGUCGAAUUUAGGAGUCCGGUUGUGCUCUUUGCAAGCACAAAGAAAGAGAAGUACCUUGUUUUUUGUAUGCACGCUUCCUAAACGGUUAAACAGUGUGUUUUUUUAUAAAACUUCUAUAGAAAAGUCGCUUUAAAAAAUAUAUUAAUCCAUUUUCAAGUUUAAAAUAAUUAAUACUCAACUAAUUAUGUUUUAAUGGCUCAUCUCGUUUUACGUAUCUUCCUAGUUUUCUUCAAUCCUCUCCUCUCAAACAUACCCUAGUGGAUUAGGACUAUUUGCAUGAGUUGGAUUUGUGGCUUUUGGGCAGCCACCUCUAGGUAUAAAUAGAAGAGGAGUUGAGUUGUCUCGGAAUUGAUUUUGUAAGAGAUGUGUUGAGAGAAAACUUAGGGUUUAGCUUAGAUUUUGAGUUUAGUCAAAAGUUGAGAGAAGAAUGUUGUUGCUGCAUUUUGAUACCACAAUUAAAAAUAUAAAUUUGAUAUAUUUUCAGAGAGUUCUUUAAUUUGUGUUUUUCUCGGGCUCGAUGGCCACACAGCUGGCAAGAGCACAACGGUCAGAAUGGUGGCUACCUGGCGGUCAGAUCAUCGGAGCUAAGGCGGUUGAACCGGCGGCAUCAGACAACGGCGAUAGAAGCUAGACGGUUGGACCGGAGGAUCUACACUGGUCAGAUUCGGAAGUUCCGGCACAGUCAGACUGGAGCAAACACACCAGGGUAAUCUUUAAUUCUGCUAAAAGUUUUGGUUUUUGGUAAUCAUACCAUUUACCCUCUCUGGUAAACUUAGUUCAAGUGAUUCAAUCUUACAAAUAUCUAUACACAAACCAAUCAAGGGCUUGUUUAGGGAAGUUUCUAGCUACAGCAGCUUCACCCAGAAUCAUAAGCUCAAAAACAGUCCAGCUUUUAGAUUAGAUUCUAAGAAGUUGUAGUUGUAGAAUCUAGAAAAUAAACAAAAAGCCAGAACCUGGAAAAUCCAGCUUUUUCCAGAUUCUGAGAAGGCUUUUCAUAAUUUUAAGCUUCCCUAAACAGGCCCUAAGCCUGCCAUAGAGUGUAAAUCAUUUUGCAAUAGCCUGGUGUCGAUUUUAUGGUCUUGUCGCUCAAUUUGUUCUCACCAAGUGUCCCAAAAACUACCUCAUUGUUGUAACUUUAUUUUUGGGCCUAUAAUCCCUCUCUUGAAUAAAUGAAUAUGCAGAGUUCCUACCAUAGAGAACAAAUUAAUUAAUCGUACCAUUAUUCAAAAUUUUAAAUAGUUACAUGUUCAACAUGAUCCAUUUUUUUUUAUCAAUGAUUAAUUUACUAGUGCCAUCAUGGUCAUGAGGAAUAAUCCUACUGCACGUACGUGCUCCACUGGCCACUUGGCACUAGUAGCUAUUGACUUGGCCGCCAGAGUCGAUGGUUGACUUGGUUCUACUUGACCCGUAAAAGCCAUAAAAAGGAGAGAAAGCAAAGCUUCGUUCUACUUCUGUCUCCUCUCUCCGCUCGGGCCUCCGGCGGAGUCGAGUCAAGGUCGUCUCCUCCUCUCUCAUCAUCGAGUUCACAAGGUGCGUCCAUGUUCUCGUUUGCAAAUCCAUGGUGUUGUAGUUAGGCGGAUGUCAUGCAUGUUUCAGCUUGCUCUUCUGGGACGGUAGGUCCUGUUCUUCGUCUCGCGCACUUGGGUUUGAUCCUGAUUUCGUAGGAGAUUUCGUUCUUAGUUUUAGCGUUUGAGCAUGAAUAGUCGCUGGUAAAUUGUCCUGUUCGUUUGGGGUUGGAUCUUUGGUGGCGGUGAAUUGUGUAUGUGAUUUGCAAUUUCAUCCACCCAUCUCGCUCGCCUCAGCUCUGUGACGAGCACCGUCUGUCCCUACUGCGUCGCCCGCGAGGUGCUUGUCGUAAUGCUCCAACGCCGGGGCACGCCCACGCGCGCCGGCGCACCCGGUCUUGAGAUUUGGGUGGCCUAGUGAAACUAAAAAUAGGGCCCACAAAUCACAUCUAAAUAAUAUCUCUCUCUCUCUCUCUCUCUCUCUCUAUAUAUAUAUAUAUAUAUAUAUAUAUAUAUAAAUGCUUGUUACCAGUAAGCAAUUGAAUUGCAAGAAAAACUUUCUAAUAUUACUUUAAGAAUUUGUCCAUUGGGCCCUUUCAGUCAUUUUAUUAAAUCAUCCACCUUUUUCUUUCCCGAUACGUACUUUCUAGACAACAUAAUAUCAAGGACGAACUAAUAAUUGAGAAAAAUAUAUUACUAGCUCUUGAGCUCAUAAAUUACAAAGCUGUAAAACUAUAAAUCUGACCAAUUAAUUGAUUGUGGGCGUGCACCACUCCCCAACGACGGUGGGGGAGGUGGAGGCGCGACGACCAAUGACAGCGUGCACUCGUGCGGUGGAGGAAGCGGCUUGAGAGGGAUGGAGAUGGGUAGAGAAGGUGGGGUGGUGGGACCCAUGGUAGGCAUGUGGUUUCAACUUGCUAGAUAUGGCCAGCCAAGUGAAACUUUUGGCUACCUAUUUGGCUUGGCAAGUUGCGCCGUAUUUAGUUCAAAAGUUUUUCUUUAAACUUUCAACUUUUCCAUUACAUCAAAACUUUUCUACACACACAAACUUCUAACUUUUCCGUCACAUCGUUUCAAUUUCAACCAAAAUUUUAAUUUUGGUGUAAACUAAACACAGCCUUGGAUGGCAAAUCUAUUGGAGCACGUUCUUUUUCCUAAGUUUACGAAAUUUUGGUUUGAAGAGUCAGUUGGAAUUGCUCUAGGUCAGCAACACGAGGCGCACAGCUUGGUCCAAGGCUCCAAGCGCAACCUCUGAGCUCAAAUCAGGAGAGAGAAAACCAACAAAACUUGGGCAAUUAGCAAGGAUGGGAACGUGGUGGUAUCUGGUGUACGUAGUUGCUGAUCGCCUUCUCCUUUCACAUGCAGACGCAGCAGAUAAGCACUUCAGCCGACGAGCAGUGACCAUCAGCGUAAAUGUUACUCCCUCCGUUUCAAAAUAUUUGACACCGUUGACUUUUUAAGUAUGUGUUUGACCAUUUGUCUUAUUCAAAAAAUUUAAGUAAUUAUUUAUUCUUUUCAUAUCAUUUGAUUCAUUGUUAAAUAUAAUUUCAUGUACACAUAUAGUUUUACAUAUUUCAUAAAUUAUUUUAAUAAGACGAACGGUCAAACAUGUGGUAAAAAGUCAAAAGUGUCAAAUAUUUUGAAACGGAGGGAUUACUUUGCAGUUGCAGAUUUGCAGCCGCCGCGGCCGGCAGCGAGGCGCGGAUGCGACCGACGGAGUGAGGCAGCCGGCUAACGGACCUAGCAUCAUGAGAUCGGAUCGCUAGAUUGCCAUACCCAGGAUCUCGCCCCUGAGCAGUGUUUCUAAUUUCGGUAUGCACCAAAAUUUUGUGGUUGCCGAAAUUUUGAAAAAAUCGUGGAUUUCGGCAUUUUCUGACCGAAUUAUUUUGAAAUUUAACAUAUUUUGACUGAAUUUAAAUGAAUUUUAAUAAAUUCACAAAUAUUUGAAAAAAUCCACAAAUUUUGGAGGAGAUUUAAUCUUGCUGGUGGGGUCCAACUUUCUAACUACAUAUGCAUAAAUCAUGCGUAGAGAACGUGCAUGUGGUGUUUGUUGAGCGCAGGGUUUACGAUUCUAAAAUGACCUUCCGUUUCAAGCUCGGGCGGAACGACGGUUUUCGCAAAAUCAGGUGGAAUGCAGUAGAUUCCGAAUAAAUUUCAUAAUCAAAAUUUGAAAACAAAUUUCCUUAGUUUACUGAUAAGCUCGCGAAAAUCGGUCGGCUUUGGUGAAAUUCCCACUAGCUAGCAUAAGUGGCCAACAAAAUCAAAAGUAAAUGGAGCACAUACCAAUCUAGGGUUUUCACAUUGAAUUUUCCGGCCGGAAAAUGGCUCUCCGACGACGGCUUCGGGGGAGGAUCGCGGGAUCCGGUGGGGGGGGGGGGGGGACGGCGGACGGCCGGAUCCGGUGGGGGGCAAAGGAGAUGCGACGCCGCUGGGAAGACGGCGGCCUCGCCUCACCCUUCUGCUCGAUGUUUUUUUUGGGAGCGAUCAGAUGCAGGACGCCAGGACCACAUCCCCUCUCCUCUGUUAUUUGGGCGAAGUACUAACUUGCCUAUUAUAUAGAAUCCGGCCCAGGAAAGUGUUUUCUUUUUUUGAAUUCGUUAUUCUUUUCUUUCCUACUGUAAAUUUGUCAAAACCUCGUUUUUUCACGGAAUUCGACCGGUUUUUGUUGGAAUUGUGAACCCUGGUUAAGUGUGUGGUCUUGGACCCUUUGCCCAACGCCAUGAUCAAUUGAUCAGCUGUCUUGCAUGUGUUCUCAUCGUUUCUUCCUUCAUGCUGCAGGGUUCGGCACACCAACCACCAACAGUUGGGCGCAAGUUCUCCAACCUCCCUUUUGUAGUCGGCCUACAAAUCUUCCAGCAGGUGAGCUAGCAUUAGAUCAUCGUAUAAAAUCACCAAUAUGACAGUGCAAAAGUUCCACGGUCAGUUCUUCAGUUCAGAGAUGGGGAAAGAACCUUUGUGUUGUUGUUUUGUUCAGUGCUGAUUCAACUGCAACAUUUAGCGAUUACUGUUGUUUGCAGUGCAUCACCUUAAAUACUGUGUGUUAAUUACAUGUUUCCCGUAUUUUUAUCAUUUAUUAUCUUAUUGUUGGCCAUCUACUGCAAGGACAUCUUAAGCUAAAAUUGAAUGCCCGUGGAAACUAUUACCAAUCAUUUCACCAAGAACAAAGCAUGAAAGAUGAGUAGCCCAACGAAAUUUUCUAAUGGCCAAUCAAUUUGCGAUAUAGUUGAAAUGUUGCUUUACAAAAGAUCCAGUGCUACUAUAGCGGCUGUACAGAAUUAAUAUGGAUUACAAAAGGAAGACAAAAACAACUAGGACCAAAUAAAGAAACAGUAACAAGUCAACCAGAUAAACGAGAUUUGAAGGGCAAACAUCUAUUAUAUUAUUAAAGGAAUAGAAAAAGAAGCCUCCAUGUUUGCUCUCAUGGUCUAUAAAUUCUCACAUUAAUUAGGGAAAAAGAAAAAACAGAGUCCAUAUAGAAAUACAAUUUAGAAAUAGCUGAAAUUCGGAAUUAAAAAAUAUGGAAUCUUAGAAGAGGAGACUAGAGUCCAUAUAGAAAUACAAUUUAGAAAUAGUUGAAAUUCGGAAUUAAAAAAUAAGGAAUAUUAGAAGAUGAGACUAGAGUCCAUAUAUAGAAAUACAAUUAGGAAAUAAAUAACUGAAAUUCGGAAUUAAAAAUAAGGAAUAUUAGAAGUAGAGUAUAUAGUCCAUAUAGAAAUACAAUUAGGAAAUAACUGAAAUUCGGAAUUAAAAAUAAGGAAUAUUAGAAGUAGAGUAUAGAGUCCAUAUAGAAAUCCAAUUAUGAAAUAACUGAAAUUCGGAAUUCAAAAUAAGGAAUAUUAGAAGUAGAGUAUAGAGUCCAUAUACUGAAAUUCGGAAUUAAAAAUAAGGAAUAUUAGAAGUAGAGUAUAGAGUCCAUAUAGAAAUUCAAUGAAGAAAAAAAAAUAGAAAUUCGAAAUAAAAAAAUAAGGAAUAUUAGAAGUUGAGUAUAGAGUCCAUAUAGGAAUUUAAAACUAACUAAAAUUUGGAAUAAACAUAAUAAAAUUAAAAGUAGAGUUUAGAGUCAGUAUAAAAAUACAAUUUAUAAAUAACUAAAAUUUGAAAUUAAGAAAAACAUGGGAAGAAGAGUUUAAAGUCACUAUAGGAAUACAAUUUAGAAGUAACUGAAAUUCGAAAUUAAAAAUUAAAGAAUAUUGAAAGAUGAGUUUAGAGUCCAGAUAGAAAUACAAUUAGAAAUAAUAAAAAUUCAGAAAUAAAAAUAAAUAAUAUUGGAAGAAGAGCAUAGAGUCUAUAUAGAAAUACAAUUUACAGAAAAUUCGGAAUUAAAAAAAAGAAAUAUUAAAACACGAGUCUAGAGUCCAUAUAGAAAUAUAUAUAAUUUACAAAUAACUAAAAUUUGAUAUUAAAAAUAAUUAAUAACUAACACGUAUAUAAAAUAUAAUAUGAAUAUUACGUAUUAGUAGUUUUGUAAAGUUAUUGCAAAAUUUAAAAUUAUGUUGUCAUUUUAAUAUAUUUGAAUAAUAUAAUGAGAAAACAUAUAUGCUAUUAUAUGGGAGAAAACAUAAUGAUGCUAACCGCGCAAUCUGCGUGGGCCACCAUGCUAGUUUUUAUUAUAAGAAUAAAUUGUGAGCGUGUUGGGAUUGAACAUGGGACCUUGGGAUUAAAACCACGCACCCCUUACCACUACAUUAUCAAGUGCAUCUCAUAACAAAUCAACCAUGACCCUGCCUAUACAACAGAUCUACACCAGUGCUAAACCAUAUGCAUGCUAGAUACAACACAACUUUUUGGCAUUGCAGAAGUAUGUAGUAAAACCAAAUAUCAUAACACAGCUUGGUAUAGAUAUAUAAGGUUCUGAAUCCAUCGGUAAUGGCAUUUACUCUCUCCGUUUCAGGGUAUAAGACAUUUUGACUUUGGGCAAAGUCAAACUACUCUAAGUUUGACUAAUUCUGUAAAAAAAAGUAGUAAUAUUUAUAACAUCAGUAUAGUUCCAUUAAAUCUAUAUUUGAAUAAAUUUUCAUAAUAUAUUUGUCUUGGUUAAAAAUGUUACUACUUUUUUUUAUAAAAUUAGUCAAACUUAAAGUUGUUUGACUUUGACCAAAGUCAAAAUGUCUUAUAACAUGAAACGGAGGGACUAUUAGACAACUUUACUCUAAAGAUAAAUGCCAAACUGUUUCAUACAUUUACCGAUGUGAGAAAACAGUUGACAGGUAAAAUGGAAGCCAUUCUAUUCAGGUGGUGUUACAAAUAAUAGACUUAGUGAAAUACUCCAUCUAUUUCACGUUAUAAAACGUUUUGGCCCCUCCAUCCCUUGUUAGAAUCACUAACAUUCAUAUGAUUUGUACACAUAUAUCUAUUAUUAACUUAUUAUAAAUAUUUUUAUUUGUCUAUCAUUUUUUUUUAAACCGGUGAACCUAUUAUUUUUGGACAACCAUAUAUAUCUUUUGUUAAGAAAACAAAAACCUCGGAAGACCUCUCUAUUUUUCUCAGCACAACACACGUGCGCGUAUUUGCCUUAUGCACGCAUGACAAGGCACCGUACCUAAAGUAGCUUGGGUGAUCACGACGCUGCAAUGUGAAGACAUCAAAUCAUCAAUGGAUAAUUAUUGUUUUUUUAAUAACAUAAAAACAAAUCGAAGAUGUGAUGUAGAGAGAAGAGUCAAGCACCGCGAGUUAUAUAUAAUUAAUUUAUAUUUAUAUGUAUAUAAACAGGGUAAAGCUAGAACAAAAAUUACCCUAUGUCAUAUACAUAUAUAUUACACAGAUAAUAUUCUAAUUACAUUACAUGUGUUAACUAAGAACUUGUUUUGGCGAAAAAAAAUUAGACCAUGUGUCUUAUGCACGAGGGAGAAGCAACGUGUUGUUGUUACUAGGGAUGAAAACGGUCGGAAACGAUCGAAAAACAGCCUCAACCAUUUCCGUAACCAUAUUUUUCUCGGAAACAAAAUCGGAAACGGUAAAGUCGGAAACGAAAACGAUAUCGGAAAUAUCGGAAAACCAGAAACGGAACAAUACGGACGGAAACAUGUCGGUACAGAUCGGAAACCGGUAACAAAUACGGAAACAUUAAACUAUAAAAACAUAUAUUUAACUUUACAUAAGUAUGUUAUAUAUAUAUACAUAAAUUCAAGCUUAUACUAUAUAAAUUAUAAAUUAACUUUAUUUUAGCCAUGUACAAAAGUUAGAGAUUUUAUUGAAGAGUCAGUCAAUCUAUAAGCUGUGGGUCACGUAUAGACAUGUCCUAUAAUAUCGACAUAUUUAGAAUACGGUAAUUACCAUAUUAUAAGAAACGGUAAUUUCCGCGAGAAUACGGUAAAUACGGAAACGAUCGGUAUAACAGCAAAACCAUUUCCGUUUUCAUUUCCAUAUUUUUUACCAUUUCCAUUUUUGUUUCGGUCGAUUACCAUUUCCAUAUGGCUCGGCCGGUAGAAAGUCGAAAACGAACGCCGGUCGGCCGGUAAUUACCGUUACCGUUUUCACCCCUAGUUGUUACCCCUUAUAUAAACUAAUAAGUAGAUAAAUUAGAUAAAAUAUGGUCUUACGACUGUUUAAGAUGAUGGGUGAGUGAAGGAUACAACCAAGUAAUAAGUGGACCGAGAAUAAUGACAAACAGCUUACAUCUGUAUGUGAUUGAGUGAUGGCAUGAUAUGUCAGUUGUACAAGGAGUUUUUCUUUGAUUAUGAUAAAGACAAGACAUCGAUAAGAAGGAGAAUAUGUGCUUAUUUGAAUUUUUUUUUAAAAAAUAGACAAACAAAAUUUUUUAAGUAGUCAUGGAUGGUUUUAAAAUAUUUUUAAUUUUUCUGAUGAAAAUUGUAUUGAACUUAUUGAACAAAACUAUAUUUUUUAUAUAUGCAGACUACAUGAUAGAAAUAAGUUUCACUAUAAAACACUUCAAAAUUUAUAAGUAAACUAUCCAUACUAAUUAAAUUUAUAUAAUUAUGGUCUUAUUUCAAACAAAUAUUGUUUCAAAUAAAACCAUCAAACUUGUGAAAACAAAAGAAAUUAGCUUCAAACAAUGUUGAUAUUUUGCACUACCAAGCAAAGCGAUUGUGUAGGUGAUUUGUGUGCAGCAACACCCUUUAAAGUUCUUCAGAACUAUGGAGAAAAUAUGAAAUUUUUGAACUUAUAUAUAGAGAAAAAAAAAUCCAACUUCUAAUUUACCCUUAAUUUGUUUGUCAUGUGCCUUCACGAGGCGAUUCAACUCUUAGAUCUCGCAAUUUUUGCUUGUAGCCAUAUUUGCACGGUAUGUCAGUAUGUGUACAAAUGAUAUGCAUGAUAAUUAGUUACAAUAGUUUAAUAUUUACUUUGAUGCAAAAGUCGUAUAAACUUAAUCUAUGUUCUAUUCAAAGAGUCGAUGAAUGCUUUUUUGAGAUAUAUUUUUUCUAAAAAAAUAGAAUCCCUAAAUCAUUUUAAAAGGACAUUGUUUGAUCUUUAGUUCCCUAUCCAUAAGACAAUUUUUGAACAAACUAUAAUCUUACUUCCUCUAUUGCAAAAUAUAAGGCAUAACUAUUUUUCUUACAUGUUUCAAAAUAUAAGGCAUGCAUGCAUGCAUGCAAUUAACUAGCACCUCUUCUCCACUAAAUUAUUAUAUUUUUUUAACACUUUCAUUCUCAAAAUCUCGAAUUCUAUUGGGUGCAUGCACUGAAUUUAUUAAGAUGAUUCAAACAAUGAGAUGAUAAUAAUUGUUUCUUGGUUUUUAGAGUUAAUGGUGGUUAUGGCUUACAUUAUUUAAUGGAGGGAAUACCUUUCAAAUAUAAACGCUCACGCAUAUACGUGGGCCACCUUCCUAGUUAUAUAUAAAACACAAGCAUGAAUCCAUAUAUGAAUAUAUUCAAAAUCUAAAACAUCUUAUAAUAUGAAACAUAAGUAGUUUCUAAAGAACAGCUUGCAAAACAAUUCCCUUGUAGAAAGAUGAAAAGACUGAAAGCAUUGAGUACACCAGAAUAAGUCAUCUGCCAAAGAAAGCAUAGGUGAUUGCCAAGGACCAUCAAGCCUGGAAGACUGGGACGUAGUAGCUAGGCCUCGCAGCGUAACAAAGAAAAUGAAAACUGUGAAUAAAUGGCACAUAAAAACGCAAAACCAUCCGUGACAGUAAGUGAUGCAGAUACUGUAAACUAAACAGUUCUCAGUGGAGUCUUCACAAUUGAGCCCGUUUCCUAAUUCUAUCUUAAUAUAAAGUUAUCCCCCACUAACUCUUUAAGCUUAACAUACAAAGAUGUCGCAUCAUCAUCCACUAACAAUCAUCACAUUUAAACAUCAUGCAAACAUGCUAUAUCUUUAUAGUUUUUAUAAUUUAAGAGUUUUUCAAAUACAAAUAUGUGAAAUUAUCAUCCAACAUGAUUCACAUAAUGUUUCAAUAUAUAUCUUUAUUAUAUUUUAUGAUAUCCUCUAUACUUAUAUGGUUCAUCCUCACUUAGUUAGUGCUUAAAUGAUUAAUCUAUGGUCCAAAUUAUCUUUCUCCCUUUUUCCUCUAAUUAAGUCAUAUCACAUCAAUUGUUUUUAGCCUUUAAAUAAUUAAUCUACGGUCUAAACUAUCUCCCUACUUUUCUUCUUCCAUAAAGUCAUACCACCUUACUUUUUACGUUUGAAUCACCAUUCUACAUACUAUUUAAAUUUAAAUUAUCAUAAACCACAUUAAUUUACUUAAUCUGAUAUUAUCUAGCUAUCUUACACGUUAUUUUUUUUAUUUUUAUCAUACUAAAUUCCCGCAGCAAUGCGCGGGGUUUCAGCUAGUAUUUUCUACUUAUAGACCUGUAGGAAAAAAACAUUAAAGAAAUGGACCCUUUUGAACAGUGCCACAUGCCAUUUGGCUGUAUGUUCAUAGAAUCGCACUCCAUAUAAGCAGCCUGGUCGAUGCAGCCACUAAAAUCCCACAAAAUAAGGAACACAGCGCCAAAUCUUGCAGUGCCAUUCUAUUCAUGCUUAUGGUUCAUUAUAGAAAAGUUUUAUCAGGAGUUAAUUUAUAAUUUUUUUUUUGUUGAAACUACCCUCACGCAACAGAGUAGGAACAGAGGGGAUCAAAAUAAAAAACUCAAGCAUGUAGGGAAUGAACUGAAACUAUAGGCUCAACAUGAUGAACUGAAAACUGACUGGAACAUAGGUUUUUCUUUUCAUAAACUUGUUGCUAAUUACAUGAAUCGAUCCUCUGGGCUGUGCUAGUUUACUUUAGUUUGUUACUACAUUAUGUAAUACAGUAUAUUCACCUUUGUUCAGCUGACAUGGAGGCUGUAAUCCUUGCUGUCUCAAAGAUUGGUUCAGUUUUAGUGGAGGAAGCCACCAAAGCUGCUAUAGCCAAGCUAUCUGAAAAAGUUGCAAAUCUGAAGGAACUACCGACAAAGGUUGAUGAAAUAAAGAAGGAACUGGAGACAAUGAACAAUGUUAUAAAAAAGAUGAGUACAACACAUCCCAUCGAUGAGGUUGUCAAGGGUUGGAUUGUAGAGGUGCGGGGCCUGGCCCACCAUGUUCAGGAUGUAAUGGACAAAUAUUCAUACCAUGCUCUUAUGUUGGAAGAAGAAAGUUCCAUGAAAAAGGUAUUCACUAAAAAGAAAUAUGUCACAGUUUUCAGUGAUAUUGCGGAAGAGAUUAUCCAGAUAGAGAAAAAGAUUGAAAAUGCUGGGAAGCGGAAAGAACGGUGGCUGCAGCAGCCUGACCUUAUUCCUAACCCGCUUACUUAUAUUGAAAGGAAACAGUUCCAAGACUGCCUCCUGGCACAAGAUUAUCUAGUGGGGAUUGAAGGCAACAGGAAGCUGCUGACUGAAUGGUUGUACUCCAGUGAGCAAGGUAACACAGUGAUAACGGUAUCUGGUAUGGGUGGAUUGGGCAAAACCGCUCUGGUCAAUAAUGUGUAUGAGUAUGAGCGGGAGAAGAACAAUUUUGAUGCUUUUUCUUGGAUUGUCGUGUCACAGACAUAUAAUGGGGUUGAUCUACUGAGGAAAUUACUUAGGAAGAUUGGUGUUGUCGAAACGACGCCAACAAUUGGGUACCCUGAACAGACAAAUUUAUCAGAUUUGGACCCUCGUGACUUGAAAAAUAUAAUAAAGGAAAGGCUAAAGGAUAGAAAAUUUCUGGUUGUAUUGGAUGACGUUUGGAACCGGGAAGCAUACACUCUGAUAGAGGAUGCGUUCCUAAGCUGCCAAACAAGUCGCAUAAUCAUCACAACAAGACAGGACGAUGUGGCAACUCUUGCAUACCCAACACACCGUCUCAAACUCAAACCAUUGGAGCACAAUGAUGCAUUUGAUCUCUUCUGCAAAAAGACCUUCUAUAACAGCAUGCACAGCAAGUGCCCACAGGAUCUUGAGAAGUUGGCUCACAAUAUAGUGGACAGGUGCGAAGGCCUGCCACUUGCAAUCGUAUCUAUUGGUGGCUUGUUUUCUUCAGUGAAACUAGAGAGUUAUAUUUGGAAUGAAAUGUACAAGCAACUUGGAGACGAGCUAGUGAACAAUGAUCAUAUACGAGCAAUUCUAAAUCUAAGCUACCGUGACUUACCUGGACAUCUUAGAAAUUGUUUCUUGUAUUGUAGCCUAUUCCCUGAAGAUCAUCUGUUUUCACGAGAUACCCUCAUCUGGCUGUGGGUUGCAGAAGGCUUUGCAGUGCGAAAACAACAUAGCACACCAGAGGAGGUGGCUGACAGAUAUCUUAGGGAACUAAUCCAAAGGAAUAUGCUGGAUGUUGUGGAAAAUGAUGAGCUAGGCAGGGCUAGUAGCUGUAAGAUGCAUGAUCUUGUGCGCGACCUGGCACUUUCUAUAGCAAAAGAGGAGAAAUUUGGCUUUUCAAAUGAUUAUGGCACAAUGAUAGAAAUGGAAAGGGAUGUUCGCCGUCUGUCAUCUUGUGGAUGGGAAAACAAUGAUGUACUAAAACUUAAAUUUCCACGUCUGCGAACCCUAGUAUCAUUGAGAGCAAUGUCACCCUCCACUUAUAUGCUGUCCUCAAUUUUGUCAGAAUCAAACUAUCUUACAGUUCUCGAGCUUCAAGACUCAGAAAUCACUGAAGUGCCAGAAUCCAUAGGGAAUUUGUUCAACUUACGUUACAUCGGCUUGCGGAGCACCAAGGUCAAGACACUCCCACAAUCAGUUGAAAAGCUGUCUAAUCUCCACACUUUAGACAUCAAGCAAACCAAAAUAGAGAAGCUACCAAAAGGAAUCGCUAAGGUCAAGAAGCUACGGCACCUGAUAGCCGAUAGAUAUGCUGAUGAAACACAGUCGACGUUCCAGUAUUUCGUAGGAAUGCAAGCACCCAAAAAUCUGUCCAAUAUGGAGGAACUACAAACUCUUGAGACCAUGCAAGCCAGCAAGGACUUGGCUGAGCAGCUGAGUAAAUUGUUGAAAUUAAGACGUGUAUGGAUUGACAACAUAAGUUAUACUGAUUGUGCAAAGCUUUUUGCUACCCUGUCAAACAUGCAGCUUCUUUCCAGCUUGCUUAUCUCUGCAAGGAAUGAAAAUGAGGCACUUUGCUUUGAGGAACUCAGGCCAAAGUCCAAAGAACUCCACAAGUUAAUUAUCAGAGGGCAAUGGGCCAAGCAGACACUCGACUACCCAAUAUUUCGUUAUCAUGGUACACAACUCAAUUAUCUAGCAUUAAGUUGGUGCUAUCUUGGGGAAGAUAUGCUAGGGAUACUCUCUUCACGCUUGGAGAACCUCACUUGUCUAAGACUGAACAAUAUACAUGGUACAAAAACAUUGGUUCUUGAUGCAAAGGCCUUCCCACGCCUGAAGAUGCUUGUGCUGAAGCACAUGCCUGAUGUCAACCAGAUACAAAUUAUGAAUGGUGCACUUCCAGUCAUUGAAGGUUUGUAUAUUGUGUUUCUAUCAGGGGUGGAGAGUGUCCCUCCUGGCAUUGAAACCCUUCGGACCCUGAAAAAACUCUGGCUGCUCAAUCUGCACAAGAACUUCAAAGCUGACUGGAUUGAGAGAGAAAUGCAACAGAAAAUGCAGCAUGUUCCAGAGCUACUCAUGUAGGAGUGCAUUGUUUCUUUUUUCCUUCUGUAAUGAUCUUGGUUGGUGCAUCUGCAUUUAUCUCUUCAUAGUUCUUAGUUAUGGAGCUGUUGGUAGCACUACCUGAAACAUUGGCUUUCUUAUCCAUCGGGACCUGUAAUUUGUUCUGUUGUUUUGGGUGCUUCAGAUAGUGAUUCUCAUCUAAGGACAAGGAACCGUGUCCUUUUACUUUUGAACUGCAUUUGCUAAUAAUGAUGUAACUGUAAUUCACCUCCCAGUUCCUUCAACCUUUAUACGCCAGUAUUCCAUAUGAUAAAUUUUUUCCUUUCUUUACAAUUUUGAGAGGAAUGUGUAGCAGAAUAGUCCCAUAUUCCCAUAGCACUAAUUUAUUGUCUUCAGGGUGCAUUCUGCUACUCAUAUGUAUAUGCCUAUAUGAGCAAGAUUGCAUUCCCAAAUCUUAGAGAAAAUAUCUAAAUCAGAUGAUGCAGUCCUUAGACUUGGUCGUAAUUUACUGCUAUUGUUUAACCGAAGAAAUUCUCACCCACUGUAUGCCGUGGCAACCUGAACUGAUGCAUUGCUGCAUUACUUUGUUUUUCAUGUGCCGAAUUUGCAACCAGAUGAACAUGCAAGAAGGAUGAGCACCUAGAAAGCACUGAAACACAAAUAUACCGCGCAACGGACGCGGAACCUAGAACCGAUACCUGAGAAUUUCCAGAAUAAAUCGAAUGAGCAACCGUCAACAGAAUCGCAGGGAACUGAAUGACUGAAUCCGGGCGUUACCGAUUCCGACGCGCGGGAGGUCGCAACCCAAGGAAGGGCAUCGCCGGUCGUCGUCCAUGACCGCCGCCGGCGACCGCUUUGCUUCGGCUCUGUCAGGAUGCAAGGGCCAAUUUCUCCCGGAUUCCUGAGAGAUUCAGAGAUUUGAGCUGAGUGGCUACCUACCUGGAACCUACAGGCAAAAUUUAUAACAAGAUAAAGCAAAAGAUCUAAAGAAAAUUUAAGGGCGCCGCGAGACAAGAACGAGACUAGAACUAGGGUUUAUAUUUCUCGAUCCCCAUUACAGAUGGAUUCGACCGGCUUACAAGGAGUUUGCCGCCGCCACAACGACUAGAGAUGAGGUAGGUGAGUGUUGGCAACCAUCUCCCAUACACUGAAAAUAGAGCGGUCCAUUAAUACGUGAUUAAUUAAAUAUUAGCUAAUUUUUUUUUAAAAAAUGGAUCAAUAUAAUUUUUUUUAACAACUUUUGUAUAGAAAUUUUUUGCAAAAAACACACCAUUUAACAGAUUGAAAAACGUGCACGCGGAAAACGAGAGGGGAGUGUUGGGAACUUACUCUUGCAAACACACACCCUCACACGAAAAAGAAAAUCAUUUAGAGAAGGUACAAUAGCAGACUAUUAGAGCAAGUUCAAUAGUAUAGUCUACUACUAGCUCUAAUUCACCUAUAACCAAUCCAAUACUCCCUCCGUUUUAUAAUGUAAGUCAUUCUAGCAUUUCUCACAUUCAUAUUGAUGUUAAUGAAUCUAGACAUAUAUAUCUAUUUAGAUUCAUUAACAUCAAUAUUUUAUUUUUUUUGAGGAAAACGACGGCAGGAGAUCUGCCGGAAAUUUAAUAGAUGAAAACAGCAAAGAGGUAAGAUUACAUGGCAGGUUUGGGGAGAUAGGAAAUUACACCUUUUUACAAAAAUAUUAAAUCAAGGUGGCUUAAAAACCGAGCUACGCAGGUCUAAGUCCUGCUUUAUCUGAAGAGCUACUGCAAGUUCUGAACAAGCUGAGUUUUGAAAGAUUUUUCUGUUCGUUCUAGCCAAAUAUUCCACCAUGCAGUCAAAAGUAUACCUCUGAUCGUCGUUCUUUGCCUCUUGCUUCCCACUAAAUUAAGAUUAGCCCACCAGGUUGAAAUAUCUGGGAAAAGAGAGGAGCCAUCAGCGCCAAUAGUUUGAAACCUGCACACUAGCUGCCACACACGCCUGAUAAAAGGGCAUUCAUUGAAAAGAUGAUUUGUAUCUUCAAAAGCAUAAGUGCAAAGGCAGCAAAUCCAAUUGCAUGGCUAGUGUCUUCGGAGUAGAUUCUGUGCGGUUAGGGUUUUUUGAUGGAGCACCAACCAACCGAAAAAUCUCAUUUUUGGUUCCGCCGGAGCCGACCAGAGGGAGUUGAAAUCAUUGUAAACAACAGAACCUUGAAAUUGACCGAGAUAUGCACUCUUUGAGGUAUACGACCCCGAACUUGUCCAAUUCCAGCUUAUGUCAUCUGGAAAUUGGGAGAACGAGACUGAUUGGAGUAAACCUCCAAGCUGAAUGAGAUCAUGAAGCUCUUCUAUUGAUGUGAAUUGCCUGAACGAAAACAGCCAUUUGUUGUUAGUUAAUUCGACUUGGACAGAUCUCUGUUUCCUUUUUGCUAAUCUAAAACAGUUUGGAAACACAUCUUUUAGGCAUUGAUUUUGCAGCCAAUUGUCAUGCCAGAAACUUGUUUUGGCGCCAUUGCCCACCGAGAUGAUCGUGGCUGCUUGGAACAGUCUCCAAUCUAUCUCAUCACAGGGCAAAUCCAUACCCACCCAGGGUUUGGUAUCAUCUUUCCAUUUUAACCACAACCAACGUAUGCGAAGAGCUCUCGAAAAUCUUUCCAAAUCUAAGAGACCAGCCCCACCCAAACUUUUUUGUCUACAAACAGUUUGCCAAUUUAUCAGACUGUCUCCAGGGUUCGAGUGAUCAGGGUCUUCUCCCUUCCAAAGAAAGGAUCUCCUGAAACGGUCAAUUCUUUUAAAAACUCAUUUCGGAGCUUGAAGGGCAGUUAGAUGAUGAGUCGGCAUGGCACUAAGAACGGAGGAGACCAGAGUUUGUCGUCCUGCUGAAGUGAAAAAACGCCCUUUCCAGCCAGGUAAUCUCGAGCCAAUCUUAUUAAUCAAAGGGAGAAAGUCGACUUUCCUCAAUUUCCUAAAAUGAAGUGGGAGACCAAGAUAGUGGCAUGGGAAGUUUUUGAUCUGUCCUGGCCAACUAGCAAUGACAUGCUGGAGGUCGACUCCUUCGCAGCUGAUAGGGAAGAUUUCAGUUUUGUUUACAUUUGUGUGUAGGCCAGAGAUUUUCGCAAAGAGGGUCACAAUCUGAGAAAGGGCCGUCGUGUCGUCCAAGGUUGGAAUUGCGAACAAAGCAACGUCAUCCGCAUAAAGAGAACAUCUGAAGCGGCCAUUCCUUAUACCAAGCGGGGUUAGGGCGUUGGCAGAUUCCGCAGCUCUAAUAAUUUGAUGAAAAGGUUCCAUAGCUAGAAUAAAAAGCAUCGGGGUAGCGGGUCGCCCUGCCGGAGUCCUCUAGUGUGAAUGAUUUGUCGGCCUGGGGAGCCGUUUAGCAGCACCUGGGACGAAGAUGAGGCGAAAAGGUUGGAAAUCCAAUUUAGCCAACGAUUUCCAAAUCCAUAUUGCUUGAGAACCUCCAAAAGAUAUGGCCAAUUUACUGUGUCGAAGGCUUUUGCUAUGUCUAUUUUGAAGAAAAGACAUUGCUUUUUCGAUAUGUGGAAAAGCUUUACCAUGUUUUGGACAUAAAGGAAGUUGUCAUGGAUCGCCCUUUUGCGGACAAAGGCACUUUGGUUAUGAGAAACCAAAUCAUUUAACCGCGGAGCUAGCCUGUUUGCCAUGAUUUUGGCGAUGAUCUUAGCAAAACUAUGAAUGAGACUAAUGGGGCGAAAGUGGUCUGCGCCAAGGGCAUCGUCUUUCUUUGGAAUGAGGCAAAUAUAAGCCGAGUUAAGUUCUGCUAGCUGAGAGGUGUUAUGGUUCAAGAACGAAGAAAUCGCUGCCAGCAGGUCCUCCUUGAUGAUAUUCCAUGCAACUUUGAAAAGGGCUCCGAUGAAACCGUCCGGGCCCGGCGCCUUCUCAGGGGGAAGAGCAAAAAUCGUGGCUUUUAGUUCCUCUUCUGAAACAUCUUCUUCAAGCUCAGAGAGAUCAAGGGAGGGGAGGUUUAGCAAACGCCAGUUAAGGCUUGAAGUCCUUUGGAAACUUGUACCCAAUCUUUCUCUGAAAUACCUGUAUAAUUCUUCCUCUUUGUCUUUUGCCGAGAUGGCUAUACCUGUAGGGGUGUGUAGAGUGUGAAUGAAAUUUUUUCUUUUCCUGGAAUUUGCCUUAAUGUGGAAAAAUUUCGAAUUUACAUCCCCUUCUUUGAGCCAAGUCAUUCUCGAUCUCUGUCUAAUCUUGAGCUUGUUUAACACAGCUAGUCCGAGGAAUUUCGAUUUGAGGUUGGUCAAGAGAUUUUGUUCAUCAACAGAGAGGAUUCUAGAUUCCUGUGCAAUCUCGAGUUGAAGAAUUACUUCGGACGCAAUUGCAAGUUGCAGCUUGAUGUCUCCUAUUUGGUAGCGGCUCCAUCUUCUAAGAUCACGAGCUAAACGACGGAGCUUUAAACGAAAAAUGGCAAGCUUAUUUGUGGCAAGAAUCGUUUUCUGCCAAGAAUUUUGCACCACGUCCAAGAAACCGGGCACAUGCAACCAGUAAGAUUCAAACUUGAAGUUUGGGAAUUUGCUAAGCUUUUCAUUUCCAACGAAGAAAAUAGGGGCAUGAUCAGAACAAGUCGACGACAGCGGGAAGAGGCACAAAUUGGGGAAAAGCAGGUCCCAAUCCGAGGUUGAAAAAGCACGAUCAAUUUUAGUUUGAGUUGGGUUAGAUCCGUCUCCCACCCAGGUAAAACGGCGACCUGGAAGAUGCAGUUCUUUUACUUGUAAUUUAUCAAUGAGACCUUUAAAACGUUGCAUCAUUCUUCUAUUUAGACGGUCGUUAUUUUUAUCCGCGGCUUUAUAAAUGAGAUUGAAGUCUCCGACAAUAAACCAAGCAGGUUUCAUUUCGAGAUGAAGAUCUUCUAAUUUUGCAAGGAAGGCAAUUUUGUCGGCCUCAAUCUGUGGUCCAUAGACUACUGUGAUGGACCAUUGAACUCUUUCCUCUCGCAUGGUUACAGUAGCAGAAAUUGAGUAAUUUCCCAGCCGAACAUCAGAGAGGGAGAAGAAGUUUUCAUCACAGGCAAGGAUUAUGCCACCCUUGGUGCCAUCAGCUGGCAAAGCUGCAUAUUGACGAACAAAACGCUGACCUAGAGAGUUUAGAAUGAUUUGGUCAGAUACAACAGCAAUCUUGGUUUCUUGAAGACAAACAAUAGAAGCAGCAUGUUGUUGAAUGCAGAAAUUGACAGAGUCUUGCUUGGCCUUGGCAUUCAUACCUCUCACAUUCCAAUUGAACAGGGCUACAUUAUCUUGUGACAUAAUCUAAAAAGCAUCUAAACACACUCCGCAUAGCAGAAACACAACCAGGUAAACUGGAAGAAACACAGCUAGCAUUGAGGUGGAUAUGCUUUAAAAGGCCGGGUGAGACAGAGCCGAAACGGGGCUCCGAUAGGUGACAGAUACACAUUUCAGGAUCACUAACAAGCAGACGAAACAGAGUACAUCGAAAGACAUGGCAGCUACACUCGGGGGACAUCGGCCUUGGCAGUGGAAUCAUUGGAGACAAAAUCUGCUUCGCUUGAACUGUAAGCCGGUCGGAGGCAGUCACAGGGGCGCCACUGCCGCAUUUUUCUUCAAAUUCUUCAUCCCGAUCGUCUUGCACCCUCCCUUUUCAACCAAGUCGGCGAUUAUCUUCAGUGAUGCUGGCGAGAGAGGCUUCUUGUACCGCUGUAAAUACAACUUUUUAAUGUUAUCAUCAAAAGAAGCAGAUUCAUCAAUGAUACCAAAUUUCUUUGAGAGGAUUUCUUGGGCAAAGUUUUCAAGCUUCGCGCCAGCACGACGCUUGCAAAGCAGACGCUCGCUGUGUCGUUGCGCCGAAACUAAAGCAGGGAUUUUCACCUUUGCACGGGAAGGCUUCCGUGCAUUGACGUCGGGGGCUGGCAGGAGAGGCGGCUGGACUGGAGUUGCAAGGCCGUUGAUGAAGCUGUCAAUCUUCAUUGCCUUGCACGCAGAAGGUGUGUCUGCUCCUGCAUGUCCUGUAGAAGUAGGCACAAAAACAGGGGAAGAGACACGAGGGGAGGAAGUAUCUGGAGAAUAGAUGGAAUGAUGCACGGCUGCUUCAUGAAGCAUUGGGUCGAGAUGGCUCUCCAAAAUGUCGAGGAUGUCCACACGCCCCUGCGAAAAGAGUGGUUCAUCAGGCUGAAGGAUUUCAACGGCUGCGACAGAAGUGCAGACCAAGGGAGAAGCCGCAUCAUCAUCUGAACCCAGGUUUCGAAGAGGGGACAACAACUUGCAGGGGGAAGCAGCAGCAGAAGAGGGGAUUAGGGGAGGGAGCUGAGGAUCAGUCUGGGCAGGCAGGGGAGGUCUCACCUCGCUUGGCUCGCGGGAACGAUGACCUCGGUAUCUGUGAUCAGAGCGCUCUCUGUCCCGCGAUCUGCCCCUCCUUUCUUGGUCACGUCGCUGGGUGUCUCGCCGGUUCGGAUCUCUGCUUCGGCUGUGGGAGCGCCCGCUCAGCCGAUCCCAGAGGGAGCGGCUUCUAUACCGACCCCUGGAAGGAUCGUUUCCAUCUUCGUCUUCAUCAUCCGGGCCACGAGCUGGGUCCGGCUCAGCCCUGCAGGGAAGCGGGUACUCUCUGAAGUUGAUGCCGUCGUCCUGGACUUUAUAGUCCCACUUGUACGCCCAGGCUUUGCGAGCGUGAAGAUCUUCGAGGGUGUCCACAUGAAUGAGGACGUCGUAGGACCAGCCCUUCUUUGGCUCAGAAGGAGGAGGAUUGCGGAGUGGCUCCAGCUCGGGGAGGGGGAUGUCAGUGGGGAGGCCUUCCUUGUCAGCAGACGUGAUGGCAAAGGAACCACCCCGAGGGAUGGCUCUCGGCUCAUCUGUCCAAACCCACAUGUCAUAUGUGCGGUUGUAAUUGCCACGCCUGGAGUACUCCUCCACAUAGUGGAUAGAACACUUGCGACCGAUCACCUUUGCCGCCGUUUCAUCAGUACGGGCAUGCAUUGGCACACCUUCGAUACAGAGGCGAGCACGGUAGCGAUAGCGAACUGGGACACCAUGGAGACUUUCAUCCCAAGGACGAAAGAGGAAGACUCGGCCAGAGGCCGUAGCAAGCCUUGGUUGGCGGAGGAUGGCAUCGCGAUCACUUUGGUUGGAGCAGGUAACAAAGAAAUCUUCGGGGUGGAAUUUGGUGAAUUGGAUGUCAGCUCUUCUAAUGUGGAAAGCAGAACGAACAUCGUCAGCGAAGACAUUAAGCUCAACUUUGUCACCCAGAGCCCCAACUUGCCAGGCAACUAAGGAGCGAGCAGAGAAACGUUCUCUGCGCCUCUCAAUCUCGCCAGUGGCUGAGACGACCACCGAGUCAAGGAGAGGACGGGCAGUGAGGUCGUCCAUGGGGAUGGGCGAAGAAGCUGAGAAGGAUUUUGGGGGAAAGCGUAGAGGACCAAGAGCUGGGAAUUUUUUUGUGGAUAGAACGGGUGGAGUGGGCGAGCUCUUAUAGCCCGAACGCUUGAGGCAGGAGGAGGCUAAGUGUCCAGAUUUCAGACAGAACCAACAUCGAAUAGGCUCUGUGCAGACAGACACUUGAUGCUGGGUGCUCAGACAACGGAAACAUUUUCCAUCCAUGUGCUUCAGGAAAUUUUCUCUUCUGGAUUGAGAACACUCUUGGUUGUUGGCUCGAUUGAAUGAAGGAGACUUUCGCCACCAAUGCUUCUUUCUGACUUCUUCCCAGUUGCUUUCGGCGAAUUGAUGACUAGCAGAGACCAGAGACGAGACCGGAGGAUUUUGCGCUGAAGGAGGAGGAUUCUAAGAAGACAGGACGAGACGUCGGCCACUCUUGAGAGUCUUGAUAUCCUUCAGCACUGAUACCGACGGGGAAGAAGGUCGUGGUGCAGCUGGCCGAUGAGGAUCGAGCUCAGACUGAGCAGCGGAUAUGGGGAGAUCCAUCAGCACAGAGGAGUAAAGACGCCUUGUACUUGGAUGUACCAAACCAGCCAAAGAACGAUCAAUUGGGGAACGCGGCGCCAUGAAUGCUGUAGCAGCCGAGCUGGAGGAGGGGUGGCCGCCAGAGACCGUCCCGGGAAGCAAGCUGCAAGUGCUGACGGGAGCCGGAUCUUCAACUGGAUCUUGCAAAUCUUGGGGGGGUUUGGCGUGGAGGAGUAACUGUGGAGGGGAUUGAUGGGAAGGGCCAGCUGAAGGGAAGCAUUCUAGGGUAGGGGAGGCUAGGGAGGGCGGCAGAUCUGGAGGAGAAAGGGGCGGGGAGGUGGAGAAGGACGGUGAUGAAUGGGAGGGGCGAUAAUGGCGGUGACGAGGGUGGGUGUCCGGGCUGAGGGAGUCUGGCAUUUGGGCCAACUAGGGGAGAGGAGGGGCGGCGGUGUGGAGAGGCUAAGGCUGGGGGGGGCCGCCGGAGCCCGGAGAGGCCGCCGGCGGGGGCGAGCGACCUAGGAGGUCGCCAGAGCAAGCUAGGUGAAAUAGUUGAUAUGAAUGUGGGAAAUGCUAGAAUGACUUAAAUUGUGAAACGGAGGAAGUAGCUAAUUCAUGCAAUAGUUGCUUACUAUAAUAUUAAUAUAUGGUCCCACCUGUCAUACACACACUACGUUUUGGAGUCCGUGCUGUAGCCAGCAACAGAUCUGUAGCCCGCUGCUCUUCUCUCUCAUCUUUUUUCUCAUUAAAAUAUGUUUAUAGCUGGCUAAUUAGCAAGCUACAGAUCUGUAGCUAGCUACAGCACGGACUCCAAAACACAGUGUGUGUAUAACAGGUGGGACCAUAUAUUAAUAUUAUAGUAAGCAACUAUUGUAUGAAUUGGCUAUUAGAUUGACUAUAGGUGAAUUGAAGCUAGUAGUGGGCUAUACUAUUGAACUUGCUCUUAAUUAGUGCUAAGCGAUAAGUUUCAGACCUCAAAAGCUACGCACACCCUCCGAUGAUCAUUAGUGAAUCGGAUCGUUGCAUCUGAGCCGUCCAUCUUCCGCUCUUUCCUAUUCAUGUCUGAAUUCCUAUGCUUCUUCAGCAGUUCAGAGUUUCAGACUUCUGACAAUACCCACCCUUAAGUAUCAUGUCUUCAUGGUUUGAAAGCAUGAAAAACCUUGGUGAUGAACAAAGCAUCCUCCUAUGUAUCCGCCUCUGGUGGAAGAUUUUCCCAUUGAAUCUUCCAUUGAAUGACAGGGGUGUUGUUUCGAGGUAUCAGACGCCUCUCUUAGCAGAGCAAUAGGCACUGUGAGGAUAUUGCCAUUUGUAUCAAUCAAGGGCAACCCUGGUUCUGGUAUAGCUUUUGCUCCGGUAUGGCACUUCAGAUGGCUCACAUGGAAGACGGGAUGGAUUUGAGAGUGUUCAGCAAGAAGUAACUUAUGAGCCUGCGAGCUAAUUUUGUCAAUCACUAUAAAUGGACCAUAGUAACGAGAAUGAAGUUUAAAUGAGCUGUGCAGGCCUAAUGCAUUGUGUCUAUAAGGCUGCACUUUGAGAUAGGCCAUGUCCCCAACUUGUAAUGUUCUUUCACUUCGUUUGACAUCUGCAAAAUACUUCGUAAAAGCUUGAGCUUUAUCUAGACCGGCCUUUACUGAAUCAAUUAAUGCAGCUCUUGCUUGCGCUCUGUUUCUGAAGCCUUCCAACAAAAUUGGCUGGUAUGAGUGCUUCACCCACCAUUGGUGGUUUUUGACCAUAAAGAGCUUGAUAAGUAGAUAUGUUCAAAGAUGUAUGAAAAGUAGUAUUAUACCAGCACUCAACCUGAUCAAGGUAGAGAAUGCUAUUUCUUUGGUUUUGUAACUGUUAGACAUCGCAAAUAGGUUUUCAGCCACUGAUUCACACGCUCAGAUUGACCAUCUGAUUGAGGAUGAUAUGCACUACUGAGAUGUAGUUGGACUCCAGCUUCCUUCAAGUUAAAGAUUUUCUGCCAAGAUGAGAGGUGAAGAUCCUAAGCUGGUGCCAACUUAGAGAAGAUCCACUGGGGGUACUCGCGCCACAUGUUCCAAGCCUCACGUACCUGAGACUUAAUAACAUGAAUAGUGCAAAAACUUUAACCCUUUCUGCAGGGUCUUUUCCCAACCUGAAGACAAUGGUCUUGAAGCACAUGCCAGAUGUGAACCAGCUGGUGGUCGCUGGUGGUGCACUUCCAGUCAUUGAAGGUUUAUAUAUCGUGUCGCUGCCAGAGCUAGAGAGAGUUCCUCAGGGCAUUGAGACCCUUUGCUCUCUGAAGAAACUCUGGCUUCUCAAUCUGCACAAAUACUUCAAAUCUCACUGGACUGAUGGAGAAAUGCACCAGAAGAUGCAGCAUGUUCCGGACCUGCGUGUCUAGGAGUGGGAUGUUACAACUUACAUGUUCCUUCAGUCAAGACUUGUUUGAUGCAUCUGCAUUUCGUCCAGUCCUUUCCAACAAGUCUUUCGUUUUGUUGUUAUCAGUAACAGCAUAUUUACAUUUUCAUCAUGCCUGAUAUGUUUGUCAGUAAGUCCUGAAAUGUUGGCUCUCUUUGGCUAGGAGGCCCAGGAGUUAGGUCUGUUGUUUGGCUGUUUCAGAUAUUGGCUUUCUUGUAAGAACUAUUAUGCUAUUGAACUGCAUUUGUGAACAGUGAAGUCAAUGUGUUCUCCACUUUGGGUAGUGUGGUGUUUAAUUAUGUAGAAUGAUCCUUUCUUCUCUUUUUGAUAAGGAUGUAUAUUACACAGUGAUCUAGUAGCAUUUCUUUAUAUAUUGUUUGUUGCAAAGUAGCGACAAUAAACUCCUCUCUAUGAAAGUAAGAUUGUAAUUUCAAAUCAUAGAGAGAGAGAAAAUAGGUUUAUCCUCGUAGCAUUUCAAACAUACACUGGUCUAAAUGAGCUAAACACACAAAAUAAAAAACGGUGCGGGCAAAAAUGUGCUUUGACAAAUAAAAUUUAGAUGAAAUCCUAAAGGCAAUAAGUAAAUCCUUUGAUAAAUCAUAUGUAGCAGAAUUUAACUGAAACAGCCUAAGCAGUGAGCAAUCCUCACUUCCUCAGUGUGACAUGGCAUGGUACCACAAAUUCAGUGCUGCAGUACACCAUCCGAACUGUGAACUCUCUUUUGUACUGCAAUACUUUUAGGGCAUAAAUCCUAAAGUUUCUAACCACAUGAACAUGCGAAGAAGAAUGCCAUUCACAAAAUUGUAAACAAAUUCUGAUGUUAUCAUUAAAUCCAAGCAAGCAAUCAAUCCGAUUGAAGCAAACACCAACUAAAUCGCGGGGGCAAUUGAAUCCAGGAGUUACCUCAAAUAACCCUGCCGAAUCUGGAAAGAAGCGGUGGACGGCCGACCUCACGGGCCGCCGGCGACCUCGGGAGUUACCAAGGCGGCGGAUCUGAUGCGCCGGCGGCCGGCGGCGGGCGGCGGAGAGGCGGAGACCCCUAGAAAACGCUCGCCGCUCGCCGCCCUUGGAGAGCGGCGUCAAUGAUCGUCCGUGCUCGUCGCCGGCGAGCGCUUGCUGGGCCUGGGCCUUCUACGGUGCGGCCCCAAGUGAAAUCCGGCCCACUGCUCAGGCCAGUCUAGAGUCGAUACAAAUUAGCAACCGCGUAUUUUGCCAAAUAAGAAAGGAAAAAGAAACUGACGACGUGUAAUCGAGAAACCGACAACUAAUGGCUCCUUAUUUGGUUGAUUUUAGGGAGUAUAGCCUAUUUGGUCCUUAAACUUUCGUGGUCAAUAUAGUUCUUGAUUUUUUAUUUUGCUCGAAUUAGUUCUCGGAGUCUUAUCUUUGAGUCUACUAUGGUCCUUGGACCCAUCAGAAAGACCACGUAGGCAUGUCAUCUCAUCUCAUCAUCUUAUACAAAUCUAUCAUGAAAUACUUAAUAUACCCUUACAUACAACAUAAGAGGGAAAAAGGAAAAAUUCACACACACUUACAUUUGCAAAUACUCAAAUAUAUCGAUUUGUCUACCAAUACAUGCAACAUAAUCAAUUUUGUGUAUAUAUCAAUUCCUAGGAUUAGAUUAAAUUAUAUAAUCAUGUAAAAUUAGUUAUAAUAUUUCGUAUCACACAUAAUGGAGAAAUUAUACAUUUCACCAUCCAUUUUUAAUAAGAUGAUGACAUGGCAUAUCUACAUGGCGUUUCUAGUAGACCUAUGGUUCAUAUUGGACCAUAUGAUAAAGUUCAAGGAUCUGAUUGAACAAAAUAAAAUAUCAAAGACAAUAUUAACCUUAAAGCGAAACUUUAGGGAUCAAGUGGGCUAUUCUCCUUGAUUUUACAAUAUGAAACAGCCAAGCAUGGUGCACAGGGACAUCAACUUCAAUCCGACGGGUAAAAAAUUGACUGAGACAAAAAUGUGCCGACACAAUUAUAGAAAUUUUGAUAUCCUAAUUUGCGUAGUGGACUAUAGAAAAAAAUAUGUCAUGACCUACUUACCGUCCUCUCCAUUAGCUUAUUUUCAUUUCGAUAUGAAUUAUUGACGCCCUUUUUAAGUGUUUCCAUAUCUUCUCUCUUACUGCACAAUAAUUCUUUCAACUUUUACGUGCCUCUAACUAUACUACUGUAAAAGUGGAAUCCUCUUCUUUCCAUCUCCUUCUUCAAUCAUCUUCCAUCCUCUCUUCUUUUUCGUAGCAUAUACUUCCUCCGUUUCACAAUGUAAGUCAUUCUAGCAUUUUUCACGUUUAUAUUGAUGUUAAUGAAUUCAUAUUCAUUAUGAGAGUAGAAAAUGCUAAAAUGACUUACAUUGUGAAACGGAGGGAGUACACUAUAUGAGUAUCAUACGUUAAAGCAUGCCCAUCUUUAAUUAUAUAGGUUUGACCCGUUAUAACGCACAGGAUGUGCUUAGAAAAGCUCGGACGCUGCACAUAUAAAUCAUAAAAACCAGAAAUUUCAUGGAAGGAAACAUCCACAGUGGACUCAUGUCUUUAUACGCGCCAACUUGGCCACUGGACGACAAUGGCACUGCAACCGCUUAGCCGUGUAGACUGCGCGUCAAGUCGUCGGUGACUGAUUCUCAGAAAUUGCGACCAAACUGACAGGAUCUGAUUGAGAUUUCAAGACCGAGAGGCAUUAUACCUGCCUUGCUGCCUCUCUGAACCUCUCAUCCUUCAUCGUCAGGGCAAGGCGUAGUAUCACCAGCUCAUCUGCUGUUACAGACGGGCUCUUGAUCUGCAGCUCAGGUUAGAUUGAUUUGUACUGAAUCUUGCUUUGUAUCUUUUGGUUUGGUGCUUUUAUGUCUAUGUUUGAUGGAAAAUUCUUGGCAUUGUGGGGCUUGUGGGUUUUAAUGCUUGCAAAAAUCGAAGAUUUGACGUGGUUUUCCCCUCAGUGGCAUCUACUUGCCUAGUUUAAACCUCACCGGAUGAACACAACAACAAAAUCCAGCCACGGUUUCAACCGUUUAGACGGAUGCAGUAGAGGAUACCUCUUGAUUUCAUCUCCGAAAUUUCAACUUAAAAUACAUCUUGUAGAAAGAAAAACAUUAAAGACAAAUAUCGUCAAAAAGUAGAGGGUAAAGUGAGCCAUUUUCAAUAUCGUCAAAGAGUAGAGACAAACAACUUACUGUGAAUGAAGCUAUUCCUGCUAAAGUGUGUGUGCAUUCUUCUGGUGUUCUUGACCUCAUAUUUAUGUCCACAUCUCAUUAAAAAACUUCAAACUGAAGAUAGUAAAUCACAGAGAACAUAGCUGUUUUAAAGCGUCAAAAACAAAUGGAUUAAGUCCUGAUAUUAUUGAGGAAAGCCAAUUUGAAACAUUACUCCAACAGAAACCAGUGUCCAGGUGCCUUCAGCAAGACAAGAUAAAUGUGAGAAAAUAAUCUGAAAGCACACCGGCUUGUCACUAAUUUUGCAUAAAAAAGAAAAAUGAUAAGAUGCAUACUUCAGUGGAUUUUGAAUCCACGUCAUUAGAAAAACUAUCUAAAAUCUUAGCUAGCACAACAUGAUUCUUAACUCAUAAUCCUCCUGUUUGAAUAAUAUUAUCACCAGACAUAUCUUUGACUGACAAGGUCCAUACUACUAAUGACAAGAAAGUAAUCCAGACAAAAAUAUCGAAUUGCUGAAGCAGAGACAAAAAAUACCUAUAGUCAUUAAGAAAUAAAAUUGUUUAGGCAGUUCAGCUAAUGAAGAAAUAAAAGAUCGCAUCACAUGUGAAUCAAGGUCACAUCAGUUCACUUUUUUAAUGAGCAAUUGUAACCAAUAUGAUCAAAUUCAAUAACUAUGUGAAAAGCACCAGCAGGCAGCAGCUCAAACACUAGGGAGCAAGUGAAUCAAGGUCCAGAAAGUAAUUUAGUUUAUUAAAAUAUUUCUGAAAGUCUACCAUCAGGGAGUCUCAUAAUUAGAUAUUUCUGUAUGCAUGUACGGCAUAUGUAAAAAAGGAAAACAAAAAAAAUACCUCCCAAGUAAAUGAUUUGAAAUACCCGAUCUCAUUAUUAUGAACCAGUUAUGUAAUAACAAAUAUGCAUCAACUCUCAAACCUUUACAAGAAUCUACGCUAACAAUUUCAAUGGAAAUAGAUGGGCCCGUUUGUACAAAUAGAAAACCACAUGGCCAGCUCUUGCUGGUACCAAUUAACAUGGGUAUGUUUAAUUUGCUGGAGUUUUAGAUGUUCCAGAGAAAUUCAGAUUAUUAUGUAUUUUUUUAAUCGUGUCGGUACUUUUUUUUAUGAAACUAGCAUGGACAAUGACUCUAGAAUGAAAUGGUCUUGCCUAGAGCAGUCCAUUUAAUUUCUAGUUUGUUAUUGAUUUCUAUAUAAUACAUUGGAGUUUCAAAACUAAACCUGAAUUUCGUUACAAUGUGUAACCUUGCAUAAUACUGACCUAAUGUAAAAUAACCUACGGAACUUAUAUAGCACAAACCUACGGUAAAUAAUUUUUUAAUACUCACAUAUACUAAUUUCAGUAUACAGAAGAGAUAGCUCCAAUUUAAUUUCAAAAUGAAUUUAUAUAUUCAUUGUGCUUGCAUCUCGCUGGAAACUGUAUUUGACUGUUACUGCUUUUGGAUUUUGUUUCAUUUUUUUUUACAUGCAUUGGAUUAAAUGUUGUUUGGCUUAUGUGUUCAUUAUUUCCAUAAUCCGUAAAGCACAUAAUACAUGGAUCAGAUCUAUUCAAUCAGAUGAUGUUCUUGCCUGAUAUUCUUAAUUGUUAGCAUAUCACAUAAAAGACUGACUCCAUGUUUCUGUUCUUCAGCACUGAUGGCGGAGGCAGUAAUCCUUGCCAUCUCAAAGAUCGGUACCACUUUAGGAGAAGAAGCCACCAAGGCUGUUCUAGCGAAACUGUCUGAAAAAGUAACAAACUUGAAAAAUCUGCCAAGGAAUGUUAAAGAUCUAAUGAAAUGGUCUCUUUCGGCAGAGCUCAUGAGUCCAAAAACACCUUCUGAUAUUGAGAGACAAAUAUCUGGAGGCUGCCUGCCAGAAUUUAUUAAAGAUGAAGACCUUGUGGGGGUUGAAGAAAAUAGGAGAAAAUUGACUGGAUGGCUGUAUUCCAAUGAGCCGCAUGGUACAGUGAUAACAGUGUCCGGCAUGGGUGGACUGGGAAAAACUACAUUGGUAAAAAAUGUGUACGACCGGGAAAAGGGAAACUUCCCUGCUCAUGCUUGGAUUGUUGUAUCAAAGACCUACGAUGUGGAAGAAUUGCUAUGCACUCUACUUAUGAAGGUUGCAUACCGAGAGCAAUCACCAGCUGCAAACAUGAAUAAAAUGGAUGUUUAUGAGUUAACAGAUAAAAUAAAGAAAAAGUUAGAAGAUAGCAAGUGCUUGAUUGUACUGGAUGAUGUAUGGGACCAUGAAGCAUACACUAUGAUGCGCAAUGCAUUCCAGAAUCUCCAGGAAAGUCGGAUUGUCAUCACGACAAGGAAGGAAGAAGUGGCAGCUCUUGCAUCCUCAAAAUAUCGCCUUGAUCUCCAACCUUUAGGCAACACUGACUCAUUCAAUCUCUUCUGUAGAAGGGCUUUCCAUGGUAGAACAGGCUGCCCCAAAGACCUUAUGGAGGUGGCUACUUCUAUAGUUAAGAGGUGUCAAGGUCUACCGCUAGCGAUUGUAUCUAUGGGAAGCCUGUUGUCCUCAAGGAAACAAACAGAAUAUGCCUGGAAUCAAACAUAUAGCCAACUUAGAAAUGAGAUGAUAAAAAAUGAUCAUGUCCGGGCGAUCCUAAAUCUGAGCUACCACGAUAUGCCAGGAGACCUAAGAAACUGCUUCUUGUAUUGCAGCAUGUUCCCUGAGGAUUACUCCAUGUCAAGGGAGAGCCUUGUGCGAUUAUGGGUUGCACAAGGCUUUGUAGUGAGAAAAGAUGGUAACAAACCAGAGGAUGUAGCUGAAGGAAAUCUCAUGGAACUCAUUCACCGUAAUAUGUUGGAAGUUGUUGAGAAUGAUGAGCUCAGCAGGGUGAGUACCUGUAAGAUGCAUGACAUUGUGCGCAACCUGGCUCUUGAUGUUGCUAAAGAGGAGAUGUUUGGCUCAGCAAGUGAUAAUGGCACAAUGACGCAGCUGGAUACAGAAGUUCGUCGCUUCUCAACAUGUGGAUGGAAAGAUGAUAGCGCACCAAGGGUGUCAUUUCCGCACCUCCGAACUCUAUUGUCCCUUCAAGCUGUUUCAUCCUCCACCAGCAUGCUGAACUCAAUUUUUUCUCGAUCAAACUACCUUAGUGUUCUCGAGCUGCAAGACUCUGAAAUCAGUGAAGUGCCGACAUCCAUAGGUAAUCUGUUUAAUCUGCGGUACAUUGGCUUAAGACGCACCAACGUAUGUAAGCUCCCAGAAUGCAUUGAGAAUCUCUCUAAUCUGCAAACUUUAGAUAUCAAGCAAACCAAAAUAGUGAAAUUACCACGAGGAAUUGUUAAGGUCAAGAAGUUGCGGCAUCUUAUAGCUGACAGAUAUGCUGAUGAGAAACGGACAGAGUUCCGAUACUUCAUUGGAGUGGAAGCUCCUAAAGGGUUAUCAGGUUUGGAAGAACUCCAGACUCUUGAAACUGUUCAAGCCAGCAAGGAAUUAGCAGAACAGCUAGAGAAGCUGACGAAACUGCAAAACUUGUGGAUUGAUAAUAUCAGUGCUACUAAUUGUGCAAAGAUUUUUACUGCUCUGUCCAAGAUGCCACUUCUUUCAAGCCUGCUUCUCUCUGCAUGUGAUGAGAAGGAGGUACUCUGAUUCCAAAAUCUCAAUCCAAUAUCCAAGAAGUUCCAUAGGCUAAUUGUCAGAGGGCAGUGGGCCACUGGGACAUUGGAAUUGCCGAUAUUUCAGGAACAUGGGAAAAAUCUCAGGUACCUAGCUCUAAGUUGGUGUCAACUUGGAGAGGAUCCACUUCGAGUGCUCGGGCUACAUGUUCCAAACCUCACAUACCUGAGACUUAACAGCAUGAUUAGUGCAAACAGGUUGAUCAUUACUGCAGGAUCCUUUCCCAAGUUGAAGACAAUUGUCUUGAAGCUCAUGCCAAAUGUCAACCGGCUGAAGAUCGCAGAUGAUGCACUUCCAGUCAUUGAAGGUUUAUACAACGAUUCACUGCCAGGGCUGGAGAGAGUCCCUGUGGGCAUUGAAAAUCUUUUCUCCCUGAAGAAACUCUGGCUCCUCAAUCUGCAUCAAGACUUCAAAGCAGAUUGGAUCCAUAGAGAAAUGCACCGGAAAAUGCAGCAUGUUCCAGAUCUGCGUGUUUAGGAGUGGUGUGCUACAUCUUCCUUCGAUGAAUAACUUGAAAAGUGCAUCUGCAUUCACCCAAUCCUCUCUAAAAAGACAUUGGCUCUGGUGUACUUGGUAUCUGUACAUCUGGUUCAUAUUUUUCUUCAACAAGUCAUGAAAUAUCGACUCUCUUAGUCUCUUUGCCAUCAGGAGUCACGACCUGAAGUUCCUUGGGUCUUUGCCUUGUGUUUCACUUCCAGUUCUUAAAUCCGUUUCAGGCAGCGCAAUGUUUAAUAUGAAUAAUGAUCCUUUAUUCCCAUUUUGACAUGGAUUUAUUACAUAAUGAUCUCAUAGCAUCCUUUUAUAUAUUGUUUGUUGGACGAUAGCAGCAAUACACUCCUCUGUAGGAAAGCAGGAUUGCAACAUCAAAUUUCAGAGAUAAAAACAGAUCUAGCCUCCUAGCAUUUCAAAGAUAUAUACUUUGACAAACAAAAAUUCGGUGAAACACUCAAGGCAAUAAUAAACAAACUUGUUGAUAAAGCAGAUGUGAAGUUUUAUACUGAAACAGUAUGAACAGUGAGCAGCCCUCAAUAUGACAUGGCAUGCUACCACUAAGGCACUAAUGCAUUGCUCUAGUACUGUAUGAACUCUCUUUGUGUUGAAAGUGCCAUAUGUAUUUUAGGGCAUAAAUCCCCACAUGAACAUGGAAGGAAGAACAGCAUCUACAGAACUGAAUUUUUUUUUUUUUGAGGUAGACAAAACUGAACUCGUUACGACAUCAAUAUACCGCCUAACUCAAACAUCUGAAACGCAACCAACGAAUUAGGCUAGCUAUCCUAGCAAAUAAUCCGGUAGAUUGAAUCGGUGAGUUACCAGGCGAAUCUGGCCAGAAGCGGCGGCGCAGCGCAGCCCACCUCGCCGGCCGCCGGAGCGCCAGGGCGAGGUGGCGGAUCUGAUUCGCCAGCGGCGGCCACCGGACACCCCAGAAAACGCUCGCCGUGAAAAAUGCCGUCGAUGCGAGCGCUUGUUGGGCUUCGGCUGCUACAGUGCGGCCCACAAGUGAAUUCCGGCCCACGCUAAGCCCAUUAUAGUAACCGAGUAUUUUGACAAAUCUAUACCUAUAUAUACCUAACGAUUUUGUUAUAUAUUUGUCGACAAAUUUUUCCCAAAAAAUUUGACAGAUGUAAUUACAGUACAAUCGUAGUGUAAUUACACUGUAACUUGCAUGUAAUUACACUGUAAUUAUAGUGUAACUUAUAUGUAACUUUCAAAAAUCUCUCUGUAACAUGUUAUUUCGGUAAAACGGAGGUCUUGGGAACAAAUUCUUUCACAUAUGUGUGUGCUAUGAUUUGUUUUCUUCCUCACCAAAACAAAUCUUGUAAUAGAUCUAACGAUUCAAAAUUAUGUGAAACUUACAUAUAAGUUACACUGUAGUUAUAUGCAAGUUACAGUGUAAUUACAUAUAAGUUACAGUUUAAUUACACUACGAUUGUACUGUAAUUACAUCUGUCAAAUUUUUGGGGAAAAUUUGUCGACAAAUGUAUAGGUAGUCCCUAUACCUAAUUAAAACAUACGUAAGGUUUCCGUUUUUUUCUUUCGUCCGUUCCGUUUUUCUUUUUUCUUUGCCACGCGAUGGGAGAUGGGAGCGAUCUGCUAGGCCGAGCAGACACCGGGAUGCCGGCCCAAGAGGGAGGAGAUGAAGCGGGCCGACUCGGGGAGGCGGAAGGAAGAAUGGGCCAGAUUUGGCCCAGACUUAAGAGAGGGUUUUUAUUUAUUUUAAAUUUAAAUUAAUUAUUGAAAUUAUUUUGUAUUAUUAAAAUUAGCAAUGAUCUGCUAGGCCGAGCAGACAUCGGGAUGGUGGCCCAAGAGGGAGGAGAUGAAGCGGGCCGACUCGGGGAGGCGGAAGGAAGAAUGGGCUAGAUUUGGCCCAGACUUAAGAGAGGGUUUUUAUUUGUUUUAAAUUUAAAUUAAUUAUUGAAAUUAUUUUGUAUUAUUAAAAUUAGCAAUGAUCUGCUAGGCCGAGCAGACAUCAGGAUGGUGGCCCAAGAGGGAGGAGAUGAAGCAGGCCGACUCGGGGAGGCGGAAGGAAGAAUGGGCUAGAUUUGGCCCAGACUUAAGAGAGGGUUUUUAUUUGUUUUAAAUUUAAAUUAAUUAUUGAAAUUAUUUUGUAUUAUUAAAAUUAGCAAUGAUCUGCUAGGCCGAGCAGACAUCGGGAUGGUGGCCCAAGAGGGAGGAGAUGAAGCGGGCCGACUCGGGGAGGCGGAAGGAAGAAUGGGCAAGAUUUGGCCAAGACUUAAGAGAGGGUUUUUAUUUGUUUUAAAUUUAAAUUAAUUAUUGAAAUUAUUUUGUAUUAUUAAAAUUAGCAAUUUAGCCCUAAGAAAUUCAAAUAAAUUAGUGUGAUUAAUCAUGAAUAAUUUAAUAAAAAUAAAUUUCGAUAUUCUAUUUUUAUAUGUAUACAUCUCUAUCUCUACUAUUAUAAAAAUUGAAGAUGUUUUUCUCGUAAUUUGGUAUGUCAUCUGUGUUUGAAUUGGUUUUAAUUUUAUGUCUCCAUCAACUCGAAUUAAUUGGGCCUUAAAAAGAACAAAAUGUGUCUGUAACCCGUAAUUAAAAAAAGGCGAAAAAAAUCCGAUUCUGAUUCCCCGUAAAAGAGAUGAAAAAACUGUCCAAAAAAAUGAAAAAAUAGCGAAAAAAAGUCACCAAAACUAAAGUCCGAUUCCCAUAGAACGACGAAAAAAAAUUUGUUCGAAUAAAAUAAAAAAAAAGAUCCGAUUUGUAUGCAACGAUUAAAAAGUAAAAAAAAGAAAAAAAAAGCCCAAAAAUACGUAAAAAGGGGCAGCCCAUAAAAAAGAAAAAAAGUCCGUGAAAGAAGUCCAUCCAGAAAAAUUGAAAAGAGCGAAAACAAGCAAGAAAAAUAAUAAAAAAAGGCAAAAAAAAGCCUUCCAAAAAGAAGGCAACGUUUUCAUCGUACUCUAUAUCUAUCUUUAUCUUUACCUAUUAUAAAAGUUUAAGAUAUUUUUGUCCUUAGAUUUUCGUACGUCGUCCGAUUUUUGAGUCCGAUUCAAACAUAUAAAAAGAAAAGAAAAAAGGAAAGUCCGAUUCACCAAUGACUUGGAGAAAAAAAAAACCCUCCCAGAUCGCUCUCUUGCGUCUAAUCCGAGUCCAAAAGGAAGAGGUGUUCGAGGGGAUUCCGUUUUUGGGCUUGGAUUUAAUUAGGGGGCAAUGGCUGCGUCGGUUUCAGAGGAGGAGAUGGCGGCCAUGGCGGAGUCCGGUCUUGUCGCGAGAUUGAAGACGACGCUGUAGCGAGGGCCACCUGGCAACGAGGGAGGGACAAAAACAGACUUGGGCGGGCUGGGCCUCUCGGGCCAAGAGGCCCACGGGAGAGGGAGGAAGGGGAGGUGCUAGGCCAAGAUAAGAGGGAGCAAAACUAGACUUGUCUAGCUGCUUGGAGGUAAAUAAGAGAUUUAAGGCAGGGAUUGUUCGAUUCAUGCCAUUUUUUUUCCCCAAAAAUUCUUGAUUAUUUGGAAAUCUUUGAUGCUUAAGUGAGAGGCCUGUGAACGUUAGGAUUCAAUUAUUUUGUGAUUUAUUUUAUCAAUAAAUGUAGUAUAAGUACAUAAUUAUUAAUUAUUUUAUUGUGAUUUGUUUUAUCAUUAAAUCUUUUUCUAUUAUAAAAGUUUAAGAUGUUUUUCCCAUGAAUUUUCGUACAUCGUCCCGAGUGAUUUUUGAGUCUGAUUCCCUACCGUAUAUAGCGCGAUUGUUGCGAUUUUUUAAUCCGAUUCCCUUCACGUGUAGUGUGCGAUUUUUUUUGUCCGAUUCCUCCUUGAUAGCUCCAUGAUUUCCUACACCCUCCUAGAUCUGUUUAGGCCCAUGUCACGUUUCUCCCAAAAAAAAAAAGCCCAUGUCACGUUCAGGUCCACUACGCUCAGAUCACGCCCUAAUACGUACGCCACAAGAACACCCCAUAGUACAUACAUACCUACCUAAUGAUAAUAUAUCUUAUCUUAAUCUUAACUUAAUUAAAAGAUUCGUAUUUUUCCUUUCGUCACACUUUUUUUCGUCCGUAUGGUCCGGUUCCCUCCCCUCUCGCGCAUGCGUGCGUGGUUUUUAAGAGAAACUGACUUAGACUAAAAAAAUAGGGUUUCGCUUCCGACAUCUAUACGACAUGGUUUUGCUUUUAUUCUUGGGAAAACGGAAAGAGGAGAAAACAAGGAUCAAAAUCCCUUAGUUAAUUUCGGAUUAUCUCUAAGGAUGUGGCCGGAUUUUACGGAGGAGUCGGAUUCAGGUGUCGUCGGGUAGAUGCGGCAAUAUAGACGGAGGUAGGAGACGACCCUGUAGCACUGGCCCACGUGACCCAUGUGACAGUGAAAGGAGCUGGGGAGGUUGAUUAGACUUGUAGUACCUUGCCUGGCCGGAUGCGUACUUGCGGGCCGAGGUGGAGCGGAGGAAAAGGGAGAAAAGUAGGCCAGCUAGGCUGCAGGCUGAUGAGCCAGAGAGAAAGGAGGGUUUUAUUUAGAUUUUUGUUUAAAUGAAUACUGAAAUAAUGUUUGUAUUAUUAAAAUUAGCAUCUGAGCUGUGAAAAUUUCAAGAAAAUUAUAGAGAGUGUAAUUAAUCAUGGAGAACUUCAUAAAAAAAUUAAAUCCAGCCAUAUCAUGUUAUUUCCACACUUAGUUUACUUUUAAAUUAAUUUAAACACCUACAUACUUAAAAAAAUACUCUCUCCGUUUCGAAAUGUUUGACGCUGUUGACUUUUUUUAACAUGUUUGACUGUUCGUCUUAUUCAAAAAAUUUAAGUAAUUAUUAAUUCUUUUCCUAUCAUUUGAUUCAUUAUUAAAUAUAUUUUUAUGUAGGCAUAUAAUUUUACAUAUUUCACAAAAGUUUUUGAAUAAGACGAACGGUCAAACAUGUGCUAAAAAAUCAACGGUGUCAAACAUUUCGAAACGGAGGGAGUAUCAACUAUUCCAGGAAAUUUGUAUUUAAGUUAAUUACAUAAUGUAAAUCCUUCUCAACUUCUCCUUAAUUUUCUCAUCUGUUCUCCCCGUUGCAACGCACGGGCAUUUUAUCUAGUAAAAAAAAGGAAAAGGAAAAGAAAAUAAUUGACGACGUUGACCUCGCUGUUGAGCGUUGACCCGGCCCAGAUGAACUUGACAAAAUCUGGCCAUUGAGCCGUCCAACCGACGGCUCAGAUUGACUGCAGUAGUGGGUAUCUCUUCUCUUGGCUUCUUCCUGGAAAUUUUGACGAACUUUCGCAGCGGUUUCUUCUGCUAGUUCAGACUUCAGAGGAUGCUGCUAAGCGCGUGGGACUUGAUCUCAAGUCGUCGCAGCCUCGCAGGCUAAAGAUCAAGGCGAGGGAGAGAGAGGGGAGUAGCCUCUCGACCUCCAAAAAUCAUCAUCUGACUAGCUCUGCUCUUCGAUGGAUUAGCUGACGAAAGAAGACCCUUGUUCUGAUUUGAGGUGAGAUUCUAUCUCUUGCUGCUUGCAGCUCUAGCUCGAAGAUCUGUACUGAAUCUUCUCGUAUUUUUGGUGCCUUACAGACUCUCAGAUCUGGAAUAGUUUUCCUGUUUUUUUGUCUGCUUGGAAGUUAUACAGUUUCUGGCGAGAAUUUUCCUCCUGGGAGAAGAGAUUAUUAGUUCUUUUUUGCUUGAAAAUCUUGGGGAUUAGUUAUGAAUUUGAGCGACAAUCACAUAGAACAGCAGUGAACAGCUUUUUUCUGGUUUAGUUCUGCAUUUUGGAGAUCUCUGUAUAUACUGGCAGUACAACUAUAUCAAUUUCAACAUCACAUUGUUUUGUUCUGAUGUUUUAUUGAAAGAAUAAUUCUUUUUUAACUUUAGUGCAGGGUUUUCAUCACAUUAUUUCGCCAACUGCUGCAAUAAUACCUAGAGGCUAGAACUACAAGCUCAAGUCAAGCCCCAGAAGGUAAUCAGUCUCAAAUGUUUGCAUCCUCUCAUAUAUUUAUCUCUUUGGCUGAUGUUAUAUUGAGUUGCUACGGCCAUCUGCUUCAGUUUAGAUAAAGAAUUCUCAUUAGUAACAAUCCCAAUAAUUUCCCUGCAAUGUAGUUUGACAUCACCCUGUACUUGGGUGAAAGCACAAACUUAGAGAAUAAAAUAAAAGUUACAGGAUAAAUUAGUUUGGCGACAUAAAGAGACAGAAACAUGCCAACUUGGUUCCUAGGUCCUUGGCUAAACUGCUGAUGCUCAUGCAUUUAGCAGCGGCCACAUUAACUGAUUGUCCGAAAAACAUCAGUUUAUUUUCAGUUGAACUCUCACACAAACACCAUCCUCAGAGCUUCAGUGAAGUUCUGUUGUAAAGAAAGCAUUUCUACAAAUAGAGCAUUGCACCAGUAAAGGAUUCAACCAAAAUAACCAUUCUACAUCUUGGUAUAAAGAAAUUUGAAGUUCUGAACCCACAAGUACAUCCAAUGGUCAUGUCUUUAGAUAUGAAACUGCUUUGAACUUUAAAAAGCUUUUUGGCAAGACAGAGGGUAAGAUCCAACCACUUGAGAAGUUCAGAUUGGUGGGAAACAAUGACUAAUUUCCAUGACAUUCAGAAAGGAUUGGUUUUACUAACUCCCUAAGGGUAAGAGACAGCUAUAAGCUAUAAAAUAAGACUGCACCACGCAAUACCUCGUCCAAUAGAACCAGAGUCUUUCAAUGAACAUAACAAUUUUUAAGGAGCAACAGUUUGCCACAGGCUUAGAAAUGAAAAUGGAUUAGGAUCACCAUCUUGCAAUAGACUUCCUCAUCUCCAGCACUAUUUCUGGAUUAAACAGCACAGGAAAUGACCGCAAAUGCCGUUCCUCCAGUAAGGACCCUUCAGGAUUGGUUCAUGAUGAACUUGGAUACUAUAUAAUUCCACACCACAAAAGACACUUAGGUUAUGGCCGCUUGGUUAAGAAAUUCAUCUAUAACCUUAGAUAUGAAAGGAAAUAUUAUAUUGGAAUUUAGGCAACAUUAUCAUCCUUUGCUUUGCACUUCUAAGAAAGUUAAUUUCCUACUUUGGAUAAAGGAUAUAUAUAUAUAUACCUUUUGAUAAGUAGGUCCACCUGAUAAUGCAUAAGAAUAACGAUCUUGUUACGAACAAGAAAGCAGUUUGUUAAGAAAGAUGAAAUAGCAGAAAUCAUUGGGUAAACAUGGUAACAUCACCUCUUGAAGAAAACAUAGAUGCUUUCCAACAAGACAAUUAACACAUAAUUCAUUCCAUUAGUAGAAGAAAUCAUAGCAGUGGGAUUUAAAUCAAUAAGAAGUAGGUCUCUCCAGCUAAUGAAUAAAAUGAAAAUUAUGAACUUUACGGGCACAAAAAUGCUUACCUUCAGUGACAUAUAACACCAUAAAUGGUCCAAAAAUAUUUACCUGAUGAAAUUACGAGUGUUGCAGGCGCUUCAAACAAAACAGUUCUCAAGUAUCAGCUAUAUCCACCAAAAGUGAUCAAAUAUGUCUGAUGUGUGAUCAUCAUUGUGUUAUUUUUUUUCCUUUUUACAAACCAGAAUAACCAAGUAGUACUAAAUCUGGACAUAUGAUGUAUCACAUCCAACCAAAAUCCCUUGUAUUUAGAGAUGGAGGGAGUAAUUAUUGCUAGUGGUGAUGAUGUGGUAUGGUUAUAUGUUGAGCUUUAGAUUUAGUGGGCUAUAAUUUUAUAGAAAGUAUAGAUUAAGAUUAGCUUUACUUUCUCACUCAUUCACUAGGAGGAUGGUAUGUCUUGACACAGCUCCUUCACCUAUAUCUAUUGGUACAUCAUGGUGAAUACUUGAAUACAUAUAUGGCUUGCAAAUUCCCACAAGGGUCGUAAAAACAAUCUUAGCUGUAAUUGUUCUACAACAGUAACAAGUACCCUUUUUAUCUUUUAAAUUCGUUAUGUGACAAAGCUCCAUGAUUCAUGAUUCUAUUCUGCAGCACUAAGGCAAUGGCAGAAGCUGUGCUGCUUGCCAUCUCAAAGAUCAGUACAGCUUUGGGAGAUGAAGCCACCAGGGCUGUCAUAGCCAAACUCUCCGGAAAAGUAUCUAACUUGAGGGAACUUCCUGACAAAGUUGAGUAUAUCAGAAGGGAAUUGCGUCUCAUGAAAGAUGUAAUACAAGAUUUAGAUUCCACAAAUACCAACAUGAAUGUUGUCAAGGGUUGGAUCGACGAACUGCGGAAGCUGGCUUACCGUGUUGAAGACAUAAUGGACAAGUACUCAUACUAUGCUUGUCAACGGCAGCAAGAAGGAUCAGUGAUGAGAUGCGUAAGAGGAGCACAUUAUGCAGGUGUUUUCAGUGAAGUUGCUAGUGAGGUAAUGAAGAUAAAGGGUGAUGUUGAACAGGUUAAAAGACAGCAAAUGGAAUGGUUACCUACAGUUCAGCUCAUUUCAAGAACACCCACUGACAUCGAAACACCGCGAUCUCAAGGAAGAAGAAAGUUGCUUGAAUGUGGCGAUCCUGUGGGGAUUGAAUACAACAGGAAAAGGUUGCUUGAAUUACUGUACCCUGAAGAACCAGGCCACAAAGUGAUAACAGUGUCUGGUAUGGGUGGACUGGGAAAAACCACCCUGGCCUUAGACGUAUUUGAACGUGAAAAGAUCAAGUUCCCAGUUCAUGCCUGGAUCACUGUGUCACAGACUUGCACGAUCCUUAGUCUUCUAAGACAGUUAGUCAGUCCGCUCAUACCCAUGGAACAAGAAUCAUCAGAAUCCAAGGAAGAUCUAAUCAACAAAAUGGGCGUUCAUGAAUUGACAAAAGAAUUAAACAGAAGGACUGAAAACUGUACAUCAUGUUUGAUUGUGCUAGAUGAUGUCUGGGACCAGAACGUGUACUUCGAAAUACAGGGCAUGCUUAAGAAUCCCCAAGCAAGUCGCAUUAUCAUCACGACACGGAUGGAACAUGUGGCAGUUCUUGCUCCCUCUGAAUGCCAUCUCAAGAUACAGGCUUUGGGUGAAAUUGAUGCAUUCAACCUUUUCUGCAGAAGGGCAUUUUACAACACAAAGGACCAUAGGUGCCCGCUGGACCUUGAGAAUGUGGCUGCCUCCAUAGUAAGUAAGUGUAAGGGGCUGCCCCUAGCACUUGUUACCAUGGGUGGCCUGAUGUCCACAAAGCUACAAACUGAGCAUGCCUGGCAACAAAUGUACAACCAGCUUCGGAGUGAGCUGGCCAAAAAUGAUGAUGUCAAGGCAAUUCUGAAAGUAAGCUACCAUGCAUUACCAGCUGACCAAAAGAACUGCUUCUUGUACUGCAGCCUGUUCCCUGAAGAUUUUCGCAUAUCUCGUGAGAGCCUUGUGCGGUACUGGGUUGCAGAAGGUUUUGCGGUGAGAAUCGAACACAAUAGACCAGAAGAUGUGGCCGAAAUAAAUCUCAUGGAACUGAUCCACCGGAACAUGCUUGAAGUUGACGAGUAUGAUGAGCUUGGCAAGGUGAUCUCUUGUAAGAUGCAUGACAUUGUGCGCAACCUGGCUCUCUCAAUUGCUGGACAGGAGAGGUUCGGUUACGCAAAUGAUUAUGGAGCUGUGGAAAAGGUUGAUUGGGAAGUCCGUCGUCUGUCAUUAUUCUUGAACAAUGGAAAAGGUUGUGCAUCAACAGUGAAAUUUCCACAUCUUCGCACACUACUUGAAACAACUACACACCCUCCUGGAUUGUUAUCCUCAAUUUUGUCUGAAUCCAAAUACCUCACUGUCCUAGAGCUACAAGACUCAGAUAUCACCGAAGUACCAGCAUGCAUAGGCAAAUUGUUUAAUUUACGUUACAUUGGCUUAAGGCGGACAAGACUCUGCUCACUACCAGAGUCUAUUGACAAGCUCUCAAACCUGCAAACUCUGGACAUCAAGCAAACUAAAAUAGAGAAGCUACCACGUGGAAUCACUAAGAUCAAGAAGCUGAGGCACCUUCUAGCUGACAGAUAUGAGGAUGAAAAUAAGUCAGAGUUCCGGUAUUUUAUUGGAGUGCAAGCACCCAAAUAUCUGUCUAAGUUGGAAGAACUUCAGACUCUUGAGACUGUGGAAGCCAGCAAGGACUUGGCCGAGCAGCUGAAGGAACUAAUGCAGAUAAGAAGUAUUUGGAUUGACAACAUAAGUUCUGCUGAUUGUGGAAAUAUUUUUGCUACACUAUCAAAUAUGCCGCUUCUUUCCAGCUUGCUUCUUUCGGCAAAGGAUGAAAAUGAGCCACUUUGUUUUGAGGCUCUCCAGCCCAUUUCCAAUGAACUCCACAGGUUAAUUAUCAGAGGGCAAUGGGCUAAGGGCACACUAGACUACCCGAUAUUUCAUAGCCAUGGUACAUAUCUGAAAUAUUUAGCUCUAAGUUGGUGUCAUCUUGGUGAAGAUCCACUGGGGAUGCUCGCAUCACACUUGUCAAACCUCACUUAUCUAAGACUGAACAACAUGCACAGUUCGAAAACUUUGGUUCUUGAUGCAGAGGCGUUCCCCCACCUGAAGACUCUUGUGUUAAUGCACAUGC
rnacentral:lncRNA from 1 species